rnacentral:lncRNA from 1 species
CAAAUUAAAGAAAUUGCAAACAUUGUCUGAUUUUAUUGUGUCCAAAAGAGAAUUUUUGGGAAUAAAGGAGUUGAAGGAUUUGUCACAUCUGCGGGGGGAGAUAUGUAUUUCAAAAUUGGAAAAUGUUGUGGAUGUUCAAGAUGCUAGAGAUGCCAAUCUAAAAGCUAAGCUCAAUGUUGAAAGGUUGAGUAUGAUUUGGAGUAAAGAAUUGGAUGGUUCACAUGAUGAAGACGCUGAAAUGGAAGUCCUUCUCUCUCUACAACCUCAUACUAGUUUGAAGAAACUCAAUAUUGAAGGUUACGGUGGUCGGCAAUUCCCCAACUGGAUAUGUGAUCCCUCUUACAUUAAAUUGGUGGAGUUAAGUCUUAUUGGUUGUAUAAGAUGCAUAUCAGUACCUUCGGUUGGGCAACUACCCUUCCUCAAGAAGUUAGUCAUCAAAAGAAUGGAUGGAGUGAAAAGUGUGGGGCUGGAGUUUGAGGGCCAAGUUUCUCUUCAUGCUAAGCCUUUCCAAUGCUUAGAGUCUUUGUGGUUUGAGGACAUGAAGGAAUGGGAAGACUGGUGUUGGUCAACAAAGUCAUUUUCUCGCCUCCGUCUGUUGGAGAUAAAAAAUUGUCCAAGAUUGAUUAAGAAAUCACCCACACACCCAACUUCUCUAGUAAAGCUCAGUAUUGAGAAUUGUCCAGAAAUGAUGGUUCCACUUCCAACAUACUUGCCUUCUCUUGAAGAGCUCAAUAUCUAUUAUUGCCCAGAAAUGACGCCACAAUUUACAACCAUGAAUUUCUCAUUAUGCUACUGAGGGGAGCUUAAUAUCAGGGCUUUCCAGACUUCAGCCGGAGUUUAUGCCGUCCCUGCUGAGGCUUGAACUUCCAGAAAUUGACAAUUCUGGUCAGUUGCAAUGUUUGUGGAAGGAUGGUUUGGGAAUAGGAAACCUCUCUGGUCUUCGAAUAUUGGGUUGUAAACGACUUGUAUCCUUUGGAGAGGAGGAAGAGCAAGUUAUAAUACAUCUCUUGCAGAGUUGAUCAUCGAGCAAGUUAUAAUGCUUAGAGGUCUUGCUAUUUCUAAUUGUGAAAGUCUAAGUAGUCUACUUGAUAGGAUGAUGAUGAGAAACAGCAGCAACAACGUGUGUCACCUUGAAUACUUGGAGAUAGAGGAGUGUCCAUCUCUUAUUUGCUUUCCACAAGGGCGGUUACCCACCACCCUUAGGCGACUAUUCAUAUCCAUUGUGAAAAUCUAGUGUCUCUUCCAGAAGACAUCGAUGUGUGUUCCCUUGAAUAGUUAAUUAUAAAGAGUUGUCCAUCUCUCAUUGGUUUUCCAAAAGGAUAGUGGGCUGUAAAAAGCUAGUCUCUGAAAGUUUGUAUCAGGAAGAUGAAAAUCUAGUUUCUGUAUAUUAAGAGGAAGAAAUUACAUGUCAUGGAGAGGUUCUCUACUCUGCUAUUUAUAUUUUCUACUGUAACAAACUACGUUACCAAACUCCUACUUGCACAGUUCAAACUACAUUACCAGAUUCCCAACUACUUGCACAGUUCUUGAGUGAUCUUGGUUUUGUUGAGUUCUGUUGCUGGUGCAGUUGUGGUCUAUCAGUCUCUACCAGAAGGAAUAGUGCAUCACCAUUCCAACAACACAACCAAUUGCGGUCUUCAAAUCUUGGAUAUCUUUCAAGGUUCAUCUCUCGCAUCCUUUUCUACUGGCAAGUUUCCCUCUACCCGUAAAUCUAUUACGAUGGAUAAUUGUGCACAGUUGCAGCCAAUUUCAGAGGAGAUGUUUCACUGUAAUAAUAAUGCACUUGAAGAGUUGUUCAUCUCGAGAGUCCCUAAUCUUAAAAUCAUACCAGAUUGCUUCUACAACCUCAAAGAUGUUCGGAUUGAAAAAUGUGAGAAUCUGGACUUGCAGCCUCAUCUAUUGCGAAACCUCACUUCUCUUGCAUCACUUCAGAUCACUAAUUGUCAGAAUAUCAAAGUGCCCUUAUCAGAAUGGGGCCUUGCCAGGUUGACCUCUCUUAGAACUCUUACUAUUGGUGGCAUAUUUCAGGAAGCCACCUCCUUUUCUAAUCAUCACCACCACCACUUGUUUCUUCUUCCUACUACUCUAGUUGAGCUUUGCAUUUCAAGUUUCCAGAAUCUGGAAUCCUUGGCCUUCCUGUCUCUCCAAACGCUCACCUCUCUUAGAAAGCUAUAUGUCUUCCAAUGUCCUAAGCUCCAGUCGUUUAUACCAAGGGAUGGGCUGGCUGACAUGCUUUCAGAACUGUAUAUAAGAGACUGCCCACUCCUAAUUCAAAGGUUCUCCAAAGAGAAAGGGGAACAUUGGCUCAAGUUUGCCCACAUCCCCUGUGUGAAAAUUGAUGGCAAAUUGAUCCUUGAGCAAUAAGAAGUUGGGAUUGCAGCAAAAUGAACGCAGAGACCACCACUAUAUAUAAAUGCUUGGUAUUUUUCUUCAAUCUGCCACAAUUACUUGUUUCAUUUGUUUAAUUGAAUUGUCUCACAUGUCUUCCACAGUUGAAACUCAUCCAAUGGAAAACAUUCUCCUUCAACAAUGACUGGUUGCUAUCCAUGCCUGUCAUUAGAUUGCAUAUCUACACAACACACAUAGGCUAUUAAUUCCCUUUCUAUUAGAAUCAAGUACGCCCAUUCAUUAUAAGUAACUUUUAUGUUCUUAAGAAUUAGUUUCAAAAUGUUCAUUUUAAAGGAAUUCCAUUUCGUGCAUGUAGGGUGUGAAGGAGAAGAUAAUGCAAAUUGUGCAUCUCAAUUGCAUUGUCCUCAAUAAGCUUUCUUUUUCCAUAUAUCUCUGUAUAAAAUUCUGCCUUUUUUUUUCCUUACGUAUUCAUAGAUGUGCAUUUAUCAACAUAGGCCGUGUUCUUAAUGCUUUUAAACCUAUGACUUCACAUUUUUCCAUCACAGGAUUCUACCAUGUCUUUAUAAUUUUCCAUUUAUCAACAUGAUCUUUGUUCAACUUACAGGUUGUUCAAGUGAGUGAUAAAGAAUACAAAUGGUUAGAUAUCACUUUUUUCUUUGUUCUCUUGAUUGCACUGCAUCUUUAUUUGGAAUUGGAUAUUUCUCUUUGUAACUUGUUUUUCUUGGGGUUUUUAAUUACAUUCCUUCUUACAAUAAGUCAGGAUUAGCCUUUUCUCUAAUUGUUCUUCUUCUUGGUCUUUUCCUCAGUUAAUGUAAGCAUCAAAUUUCUACCUCUUUGUUAUAUCUGUAGAUAAUUUUCUGGUUUGAAUUAUACAGCACACUUAAAUAAUUCAAAGUUGCAGGAGUCUUGCUGGCUCACAAAUUACCAUCUCAUGUGAUUCUGAAGAAACGAAAUCUGCAUCUUGAGAUACAAUGAGCUAUGAUCAUUCUUACCUUUUUAAAGCUUCUUCAUUUGUAUAAUGUGUUCUGAUGGCAUUUACUUUUUCUCAUUACACAUGCAUGAGGAAGAUUUUAUGACUUCCAUUAUAAGUUUUCAAUAGCUAUAUUUGCAUUUCAUUUGAUUUCAAGUAGAUGCAGGGGCAAAAAUUCUUUUGUAUGUUUCUUGACGUUUGGCACUUAAAAACUCUACACUGGUGUUUGGUGUUGAAAAAGGGGUACUUCAUGCAGAAUAAUGAAAGUAUAAAUAGUUCUUUACUAUCAAAAAAGGCUUCAUGGUUGUUAAGAUCCAUCUAAUUCUUUGUCCUUUCAUUGACAUGUUCUUCAACUUGUGGAAGACUUGGAAGGGAGAGCUUGAAUCAAAUUAAGCCAACACCUUGCAAAAGAUGAAUUCUGGCUAAGAAACCUCACCACUCACAAGUUCUUUGUUAUCCAAGAAUUCUACAGCAGGUAAUUCUAGAUUAUGGUCUCAUCUUUGUAUUUCUUGAUGCUGAUGCAGUCACUGAUUUCACUCUCGUGUUUUCAUCUGAUGGUGACAAAGUCUUCCUCUUCUACACAGCCAUUAUGUUAUAAUAAUCAGAGCUCUGUCUUGCUCAAGUUCAACCAGGGCUUUCUGACUGGUCAGCAUGCUUCUGAUGAUCCUUCUGCUUAUCCAAAAGUUGCAGCUUGGAAAUGUGAAGGCAAAGGUUGUGAUUGCUGAGAGUGUGACAAGGACACUGACCAUGUGAUUGGCCUUAACCUUGCCAGCAGCUGUCUCUAUGGUUCUAUCAACUGCAGCAGCACCCUCUUCCAUCUUGUGCAUCUUCAAGGGCUUGAUCUCUCUUAUAAUGAUUUCAGUUACUCUAAGAUCCCAUCUGGAGUUGUCCAGCUUUUGAGUCUAAGAAGUCUAAACCACUAAUCUUCCAGAUUCUCCAGCCAAAUACCAUUGGAGCUCUUAGUGCUGUCCAAACUGGUUGUCCUUGAUCUCUCACAAAAUCCAUUGAAGCACCAGUAACCUGACCUGGCUUCACAUGCAGGGGUGAGAAGCAUUUCCUUCUUGUAAUACAAAAUGCUUUUAGUAAGCUGGUAGUAUCAUUCCUGGUGAAUGGGUGAUUUCCCCUGUCAAUUUGGUACACUUUCAGACUUGAUCUCUUGCAUAUCAUUGGAGAACCUUUAUCUUUUUUCUUUUUCCUCAAUAUUUUGUUUUUAGAAAGAUUUUAACAAAAAGUAUUGUGCAAUUUCAUUUGAAAAAAAUUUCAAAUCCUUUUCUAUGUGAAAUUAUGGAUCUUUAGUGUUCUGCAGACCCCAAAUGUUAGGAAUCUGGUGGUUUAUGUUGGAAUGCAUAAGUUUCUCUUUAAAUCCUUGAACCCAGUGUACCAAUAUCCCAAACAUUUCUUUUUGUUUACAGACAUAUGCUGGAAAUAUGAUAGGGUGAUGAAGGCCAAGGAACCACUUUGGUGUUGGUUUGGAGAUCAAUCACUGAAAGGUUCAGAUGAUUUCUUUUUCUAGUUUCUUCCGAUUUAGGGUAGAUUAAGAGGUAUCCUUAUGGUAGCAAAUUCUUCUGACCUAAAGCUUAAGUGAUCCUUUGGUGAAACAAAACAUAAUCCAGGAACAUUCCCUCCUUCAGUCACUGUUGCUAGCUUUCAGAAGCUGAUAGCAUUUACGGUAAUAAAUAAAUGGGACCCUGCUUUCCAUAGCGAUCAUGUUAGACUAAGAUUUUUUCAUCGACCUCUACAGGUGGCUUAUGCUGAGAAGUAAAAGUCAUUACUCAGGGCAGGUUGCUUUUUGGGGUUUCUGUGAAUGAUGGAUAGACACGAGCUUGCGCAUUUUUUACUGAAGAUGAUGAAUCGAGACUGAAAUCUACUUCCAUUUUUGACAGCCUGAGAAGGUAACAUUUUUCAAGCAAUGGCAUGAAAAAUCUGUGGUGUUGGUCUAUCUUUCCUAAACUAAGUAUUUUGUGAUGAAAGUAGAUUACUACAACUUGUUCUUUGCUUCUGCCAACAAAACUGAUGUGCUGAUCGGAGUUUUAUUCCCUCAUUUAUAUUUGUUUGAGUGUAUUUGUGAUUCAUUCUUGAAUGAUUUUCUUCCCCUUUUACCUGAGUUUACCAAUAUGUUAGACCCUCCCAGGGAACAUGUUCAUACCCUGGAUUGUGGGAGAUAAAAAAAAUAUGUCAUCUUGGCAUACCAGUGUAAAAUUAUUUUAAAUGAAAGCAUGUCAGAUCUUAUAUCUCUAAAAUGAUCUUCUAUUUGCAACUAAAGUAGCCUCAUUUUGACCAUUGUGAGUAAAAUGGGCUUGUUUCAGUUUUUAGAACAAAGCUGAAGAUUCCAUGGGGUCCUCAAUCAAACCCUAAGUUAUCUUAAAGAUGAGGUUUAUAGUGGGUGAGAGGAGGGGUAAUGAUUCAGAAUGUUCUGCCUGUUUGGAGCCAUUUAUGUUUCCCUCUGUUUUUUACACUUUUUUGAAGCUGAAACCGGCAGUGUAAAGAAAUUUAUCUGAUUAGAAUGUCGCCUUCCUCCUCUUUUUUUUAAUCUAAUCAUUUGUCUCUUGCCAUAUAUAUUUAUAUUCAGUUCACAGUUGAAGUAACGUAAAUCACUGAGUGCUGGCUUGCUUCAUACAGACACAUGAAAGUCACUGAAGCUAAAUGAAGGUCGUGUUUUGAUGUUUUCAUGUAAACUUGGAAGGAUCACGAUGUAAUACCUCAAAAUGUGAAGAAGUAAGUAAUAUCUGUCCUCUGCAUGUACAUUUUAGUGUUAAUCAUUUCUCAUUAGUCUCUAGGAUUCUUACUUGAUAGUUAAAGAAGUUCACAUUUCAGUUCUGUCUUGUAGAUCAUGCUUUUGGAAGCUAGUCACAACCCCAAAGCUGGAGUGCUUUUCUAUAUAUGUCCCCUGUGAAAUCCCAAUUCCCAAACAGGUCAUUGCAUAUUGUAUGCCUAUCCUAGAGUUCUAUCAGAUGGGUGGAAAGCCAAUCAUGAAGAAGUAUAAAAACAGGGCUUUCAUAUGUAUAUGGGUUACAACCUGCUGUUCUAUCAGACAAGUGAUCCAAUAGUCCAGAGGAAGGUGGUUGCUGAGAAUGAAUAUGGAAGAGAAUUUAUAGAAAAUUUGGAGUUCAAAAACGUGAGGACCAGAUUACUUGUAGAACUUGAGAAAAAGGCAUAUCAAACCACACUCAAAACAGGUGAAAUAUUAUUUGUCUGAUGAUGUUGACUUGAGACAUUGCUGGAGUAUUGAGGGUCAUCCACUGAAUUCUUAAUGUAAAACACAAGCAAGUUUUGCCUAUAUCAUUCAUGGUUUCUGGAUUUGUUGUUCAUUGUGUUUAUCACGAGUGACUGAGUAAAGCUACCUCUUAUUGUCAACAAAUCAUUUAGAAAUUCAUUUUGUUUUUUUAUUUUUAAUAAUUGAGGAACCUUCCAUAGCCAAGCCCUUAGAACUCUCCUAGGGACCCAAACCUCGUGGUGUUGAUUGUCCUGCUACGACCAGUGCCAGGUAUUGGUGUUUGUAAUUUUGUGUUGGUGUGGUCAAUGUUCUGAAAUUCCAAGUUGAAUUGUAUAAAUACAAAUUAAGAAUGGAUGCUAGCAUUGCGGAAGUGGCCCUAAUGCUAGUGUUGGAGCCUUGGAGGUGAUGUUAGCAAUUAAGAGUAGUGUGAUGAUAUUGUUUUUAAUAUCCGAGGAUUAAUAUAAAUACCUUUUCUUGUAACCCUAAUUUUAGAGUAGUGAAAAUCUUUAACCCUAUUCCCGUGGACGUAGACAUUUUGUCGAAUCACGUUAAAUCUAUAUAUUUUUCUUUUAUUUUUAAAAAUUUCUUCACUAGAAAUUGCUACAAGAAUUACAACAAUUGGUAUCAGAGCACCAGGUUUCGAUGUGUAGGAUUUCUUCUGUGAAGUUUGACAUAGUAAAGCUCGAUGGAUCUAGGAAUUUCGAUCUAUGACUUAGGAGGGGUAAGGAUUUGCUAGUAUAGCAAGAUGUGAUAAAGACAUUAUGUAGAAAGCAACUAAAAGAAAUGAAUGACAUAGAUUAAAAGGAUUUGGAAGCGAAGAUUGUGGUAACUAUUAGGUUUGACUAAUAAUGUGACGUACCAUGUCAUGGAUGAGGAAUCACCGCAACAAUGUGGUAGAACAUGAUUAACUAGCUCUUUUUGGAUAAGGAUUUGGUUUUAGAAUAUAGAGAUUUUUUUUGGCAAGAUCACAACAAUAUGGAAUUGUAGGUGUAUGUGACCAUCAUGCCACAUGUUGGAAUAUUUAUAAAGUAAAACCCUAGAGUUUUUUUUUUAUGGGAGAAUUGUGUUUUAGGCUCAACUGGGCCCAAAAAUUAACAUUUGGUCCUCCAACCAUCCAUAUUUAAGCCCAAGAUCCAAACAAAGUAUGAAAAUUAAGAUGAAGGAUAUUGUCUUUCAUUAAUUCCUAAAAUACCCUUAUCCCUUAUAUGCCUACAAGUGAGUGUGAAUUUUAAUUUUUUUUGUGUUUGUUUUCCUUUUCUAUUCCCUAUUAAAUAUUACUCAUUUCUAACUUUUUUUUUUCCUUUUUAUUUUGAAUAUAUAUUUCUAUUUUAUGUCAAAUAAAAAGCAAUAAUAUUUUUUUAUUUUUCAUUUUUAAAGAUAUUAAAUUUUUUUGCUCUUAUUAAAAGCAAUGAUAAAAAUUUUGGGAUUUUUCAUCCAAAUAUUUUUUUAUCUUUUUGUAUUUAUCUUUUAGUUUAAUUUUCAUUUUUUAUUUUAAAUUUAUAUACCCUUUCAUCUAUAUUUUUCUCUUAUUUUUAAUUAUUUUUUAUAUUUUCUACAUUAACCAUAUUUUAAAAAAAUUUAAAAACUAUCACUUCACUUUAUUAUAUAUAAAGCCAUGGGUCUUAAUAUGCAAGACAACGGAAUCUAAGAUGUCUGCAUCUCUUAUUCUAACUGUGAAGUUAGGAUAGCAUUGGAAAUAGACUGGGUCAUCAUUCAGUCCAGCUUGGACUGCGCCUAUAAUAGAAUCUCGAUAUUCGAGAUGCCUAUUAUCCCUUAAACACAUGACAAUAGAGGUGUUUAAACCUAAUCUUGUCAAAGGCUUAGCUACUACUUGAAUCAUACCAAAGUGUAUGAAAUUAUAGCCAUCUCUCUUAUGCUUAUCAAUGGAUCUGUUAUCUAAAAGUCUUAUGACUUGGUCGUCUUGUUCUAAGUUGACUGACAUUUUAGAGGUCUUAAUGGUAUAAUCUGUGAAGAACUUAAAGGUUCCUUUCUUAUAAAUUUCUUGAUUAGACACCUUGGGUAACUUCCAAUCAUCUAAAUCAUUUUGGAUCUUAGGAUAAUUGAUCUGUUCACUGUUUACAACAGUAUCUUGAGAAUCACUGGAUCUCCUAGACAUGGUUCUGAAAAUUGAACUCAUUUUAGGGUUUUUGAUCUAGAGCCUAAUAGCAGAUUGACAGACCUUAUGAGACGUCACCCCAACCCUCUUACAGCCUAACAAACGCCUAUCCACGGCUAACAACGGCUCAACCGGCAGGGCUCGCGCUCCCAGGCACACUGCUACCUAUCCUAGGAUAGGCCAAGAACACCCAAAACAAGACCCAACUUCCCUCCCACAUGGCUCUGAUACCAUAGACACCCAGGACAAGGUCAUAUGCAAUGAAAACAUAAAUUAUGCCAUGAUUCAAAACAAAGAAGAGGGUUAGAAAAUACAAAAGAUAUCCAACAAAGAAAUUUAAAGAGAAGGAACCAAAAAACUUGUUAGUUCAUAAUAAGCUUAAAACCGACCAUGUAGGCGGUAUAAAAUGAAAACAUAAAAUUAAAAACAAAGCUUAAUUAAAACCGACCAUGUAGGCGGUACAAGAACAUAAAAUGAAAAACAAAACUUAAAAAACCAUCCAUAUAGGAGGUAAUCAAAACAUACUUAUAUUAUACAUAAGGAGAAAUAUCUAACAAUGGACAGGGGUAGGAAAGCUUGAAGAAAGCUUGAAAGCUUGAAGGGCUUACAUGAUGAGAGAGAAAGAAGAGAGAAGGGAGAGCAUAAGCUUAGGAGAGAAAAUUUAAGUGUUCUUACAAAUGAGGACCUUGCCUCCUUAAAUAGGCAAAAAGGAAUCUUGAAUAGUAACCAUGAACAGUAGACCCGUGCUUGAAUAGUGAAUAGUGAAUAAUAAGAUUCACUUUUAUACCGAAAAACCCUCUUUCGGCUGAGAAGACUUCUGGCAAGUUGCUUUAUACUGUGUAGACACAUGCUUGCUCCUUUUGGAACAGAAACUGCAAAGCUUGUAAAAUACUCUUGAUGGAAGACAAAAGGCUGAUGAUUACUUAGAUCUUCUUAUUGGAGGAAGGAUUCCUUCACAGUCAUCACCAUUGUCUGGAAGGUAGCUUGUUGAAUCAUCAGAUUCUGCAUAAGAAUUUUCUUGGGAGAAACUUGAGCUUCCCUCUUCAAGGAUUUUCUGGAAAUCUUGAGGGGUCUUGGCUGCUGCGAGCAUGGCUUGUAACUGUUGCUUUUUAAGGAGGAACUGAGACAUAUCAUCACUGGCUGAGACUUGUGUGGGGUUCUGGAGGAAAUACUGCUUAACUAUAUCAAUAGAUGCAUCAUUUUUUAAGGCAUCCCACCAUUUAGUUUUAAAGGUCCUUCCCAGAGAUGGAAAGGCUGCUGAUUCAUCUAUAAUGAUUAUAUAGUCCCACUGGACUAUCCAAGCAAGGCCAAAUUUGCUGAAGAAGAAUAGUGAAGGGGGAAAAGCUGAAAGUUUCCUAGGGAUAUCAAAAGAACUUCUGAAUAGCUCAAAGCCAUCCAGGAUGGGCUUAGGAAGAAUCUUAAUAGUCGAACCAUAAUAAUUCCACCAACUGUAGAACCAAAAUGGGAAAGAGGAAAGCUGAUUCUUAGAUGGAAAAUAGAAUAUCCAUGAAUAAUGGAAGUCCCUAUUCUGGAUCAGAAAAACAUUAAACCAUGCUCUCUGAUAAUCCCAAUAAUUAAAAAACCUUGGCUUUGAUGGUUCAGAAAAUUCCCUUGAAAGAUUAGGAUUUCCUCCCCAUUGCUUGACAGUAAGAAUUUUAUAGAUAUGGCAGGUGGAGAAUGCCAAACCCAUAUUGCUGAAUUUGUCUGCAUUAUGCUUAAUUUUAACAGAACCAGUUUCUGUAAGGACUGCUUCAUAAAAUUCUCUUGUUUUUAAAAUAUCACCAGAGAGAUAAUGAAAAUUUUCUUGAAAAGCUUUUGCAGCAAUUUCUCUGGGGUUUUCAGAGAAAAAUUCUCUUUCAAUAACCAAAAGAGGUUGAUUUAAAUCAUUUUGCCAAUAUCUUGAUUUUGUUGAAAGAGGUGUGGGGUUGGUAGCCACCACAAUUUGCUUGUUUGAAAAAGAGGAGCUUGAUGCUAAUUCCUUUUGAGAGGGAUUAGCCUUAAUGACUUGCUUGAAGGUCUGAGACCCUGAAAUGGUUGGAUACUGAGUGGCCUUGACUGGAUUGCUUUGAUUGAUUCAAGAGCAGCUAAAAAUUGUCUUCAAGAAGGUCUUGUACCUAUUCCUUUAUGCGAAGAGACUAGUCAGUCUCUAUUUGGAGCCAAUGGCAAAAGACUUGCCAUUAAGUAUAAAUUAACAGAUGUUCAUAUCCGUAACCAUGACAUCUGUAUUAAGCAAACAUUUAUCCUUGUUAAGGAUCUUAAGGAAAAAGCCCUUCUAGGAAUACCCUUCUUAAGCUCUAUUUAUCCCUUAUGGGUAGAUAACCAAGGUAUAAGAACAAAGCUUUUUGAUAAGGAAAUUCUUUUUGAAUUUGCUAAUCCUGUUGAAAACGUCACUCUUUGUGAUCAAGAAAUUAAUCUUGUUAGAAUAGAUGAUCCACCUAAGAUAUUAGGUACCCAAUUCAUUCAUAAUCUCAUUAUAAAUGAUAUUUUAAGCAUUCCUUUAUGCAUUUCAAAAUUUCAAACUGAUAUUUUGAACCAAGGAAUUUUAAAAGUUGUUUUCACAUCUGAGAAAACAAUUAAGUAUAUAGUUUUUAAGUAUAAUUUAAUUGAUUGGAUUAUUUUAAACCCUAAUUUUCAAAUCAAGUUUAUUAAAGGAGAAAGUUUCAUUCCUAAUCACUCAACUCAUGAAAUUUGCAGGGUUCACGAGACCAUGGCCCCUAAAAAGAAUACCCAAGCUCCUAGCCAGAAAACCCAACCCAGUCAAGCUCCUUCUCCCCAUAAAAUGCUAUGGAGCCAACAAGUUGAAGAAGAAGAAGCAAGGCUUCAUUCUUCUAAACCUAUGCUUAACAAGAUGAUGACCUUGUACUAUGAUCAUUCCGAUCCAGCUAAUCCAGUCAAGGUCACUCAGUAUCCAGCCAUUUCAGGGUCUCAGACCUUCAAGCAAGUCAUUAAGGUUAAUCCCUCUCAAAAGGAAUUAGCAUCAAGCUCCUCUUUUUCAAACAAGCAAAUUGUGGUGGCUGCCAACCCCACACCUCUUUCAACAAAAUCAAGAUAUUGGCAAAAUGAUUUAAAUCAACCUCUUUUGGUUAUUGAAAGAGAAUUUUUCUCUGAAAACCCCAGAGAAAUUGUUGCAAAAGCUUUUCAAGAAAAUUUUCAUUAUCCCUCUGGUGAUAUUUUAAAAACAAGAGAAUUUUAUGAAGCAGUCCUUAUAGAAACUGGUUCUGUUAAAAUUAAGCAUAAUGCAGACAAAUUCAGCAAUAUGGGUUUGGAGAAUAUAUAUAUAUAUCUUUUUAGCUUUUUAAUUUUUAAUGUUUUUAUUUUAAAAAUUUUAAAAAGAUAAAUUUGUUGAAAAAAAAUAACUAAGAUAUGAAGUUCUAAUAUUAUAUUAAUAAUUUUUCUUAUCUAGAUAGACUAAUGCAAAGUAUUUUGACCUACAACAAGAAAAUUAUCAAUACAAUUUUUUAGUUAAACUUUAAAAAUUAAGUUUCAAAUAAAAUAUAUUAUAUAAAAUUUUAUCUAAAAAUUAUUGAAAGCGGUAUUUAAUUUUUUUAUUUAUUGACUUUUAAACUUAUCUAAUUUUUUACUUGAAAGACAAUAGAACAUGUUUACAAAAAAAAAAAAAAAAAGUUUUUCAUUUUUUAAAUAAAUGAGUAUAAAUAUAUUAAAAGAAUUAAAGAUAAUCUUAGUAAAAAUUUUGAUAAAUAUGAUUAUAAUUUUAAAUAUAGAUUAAUUUGGAUAAAAUUUCACAAAAAAAAUAGUGAAAAGAAAGAACAUUGCUAAAACUAUAAAAACAAAAUAUACAAUUACAAAAUUUUGAUGAUGAAAUUUAAAAAUAAAAUUCGAAACAAUUCUUGAGUGAGAGAAUUUGAGUGGGGGGAAAAUCUGAGUGGAAAAAAAUAGGAAAGUUUUUCAAAAUCACUUGAAAUCCUUAACAAAAAGUAGUCGUGUACACUCUUGUACAAUUAGUAAAUUUGUCUUAUACAGUUAGUAUAAUACCCUUGUACAAUAACUCAAAUAACUCAAAAUUUUAUUUCUUAUGUGUUAAUUUUUAUAGGGAAUGUCUUAAUGAAAUAGUUUGAUAAAAAAAAAAAAAAAAAAAACUAUCAAUAAUCGUCUUAAUAUCAAAUUCAAGCUGUUUAAAAAUCGUACAAAACCUAUCAGGAGCUUUGUACACCCUUGUACACUUAGCACAUUUCCCUUGUACAAUUAGUGUAAUACCCUUGUACAAUGACACAAAUUUCAUAUUUUUCAUAACUUAAACUUAUUUUCAAAAAGAGACAAUAUAGAAAACAAAAAUAAAUAAAAAUAAAAACUAGAAAAAUAUUUUAAAACCAAACUCAAAUAUAAUCUAUAUAAUUUUUAGUUACUUGUUUUCAUCUAAAACAAGUAAAUAUAACUUUCAACCCUUUUAUAUAUAUAUAUAUAAAAAAAAAAUCAAUCUCUACUAUGUAUUGAUAUAAUUCACUUCUAAAAUUAGGUCAUAUGAAAAUAUUUUAAUUGAGUACUUAAAAUAAAAACUCUCAAUUCAUCCCCUUUCUUUAUUUUUCUUUUUCUUAUUUUAGUAAUUUUCAAUUAAUUCAAAUCAUAAAAAAAAAAAUCCUUAAUAAACAAAUUUAUAGCAUUUCAUAUAACUUAUUACUAUAAGUCAUUUCAAAAAGUUAUUAAAAUAAGAAAGGAAGAAGAUUAAAAAAAAAUUGAACUUUUUAUUUUAUAAUAGUAAAAAAAAACUUUAAAAUACUUUUUAGUAUAAAAAAAAUUAAAAUAGUGAAUAUCUUUAUUUUAAAUGGUAUUUUAAUCAUUAAAUUAUUUACUUCUAAAAUGUAAACGAUAAAAAUAAAUGUAAAAGACAAUUUUUAUUUAUUUAAAUUAAUAUUUUUUUAGAAAGUAUUUUCCAAAAUAGUAUUUGAAUCAUUAAUAUAAUUUUUGUUUAUUUAUAAUUUAAAAAUAAAAAAUAAUGUAAUUUUUCAAUUAUUUAUAAAAGAGUUUUAAAAAAAUGAAAAAUUCAAAAAUGGUUAAAUAAGAAAGAAGAGUGACAAAUAGUAGACUAAAGACAAAAAUGAGUCAAGUGGGUAUUUUUGUCAAUUACUAUCUCAUAUCAUUGGGCUUAAAUAUGGGUGAUUUGAGGAUCAAAUGUUAAUUUUUGGGCCCAUCCGCACCCAAAACACAAUUUUCUUUUUUUUCUUUUUUUUUUAUUUGGUAAAAGAAAAGAUUUUUUUUUCACUUUCUUCAUUGAUAAAAAGACCAGCCACCUAAAUUGACUUGUUUUUGGCCUUUUCUUCCCUCAAUUAUGGCCGACAAGAUCGGUGUUGAUUUCAAGGUCACUAAUAAAAUUGAGUUUAAGACCAAAAUAAUAUAUUUGUAAAAAAAAUGAUAAGAAUAGUAUCCAUUUGAAAAUAUUUGUCAAAAUAGUCUUCUUUAUCUACGUAAGCAUCCACAUGGAUUUUAAGUGUAAAAAACCACCGUUGGUGACUGUGGUUUUAGAACUUACAAAAAUUUCCUUAAAACCACAGUUACUAACUGCGGUUUUAAAAGAAAUUUCCUUAAAACCACAGUUACAAACAAUGGUUUUACAAUUUCCCUUAAAACCACAGUUACUAACUGUGAUUUUACAAUUAUUUUUAAUUCGUCCCCAUUUUAAUGGUGUUAUAAUUUUAAUAUUAUUUUUAAAAUAUUUUUUUUUAUCAAAACAACCAUAAAACCACAAUUACUAACUGUGGUUUUACUAAUGGUGUUAUAAUUCAAAUUAGUGAUGUUAUGUUAUUCACAUGUUUCCUUGAUAAUUUAAACAAAUAAAACUGAAAUGCAUCCUAAAGUCUAAAUGAAAGAAAUUCUAACUAAAUAAAUUAUUACAACCAUUACCUAUUUUUCUUUCAUAUAAUUAAAAAAUUAUACAUUUUAACCAAGACAUAAGUUCAAAUCAUACUUAAUAAUAAAUAACCUAAAAUCAUAAUCAUUGGCAUUAAUUUUCAUAUGAAAAUAUAAAAUUUUAAAAUAAUAUAAACAAUUUCUUUAGUUAUUUUAAAAUUUAAAAAUAAUAUGAAUAAAUAAUUUUCUUUAGUUCAUAUGUGAAAAUAUUUGUAAAACAAAUAAAUANNNNNNNNNNNNNNNNNNNNNNNNNNNNNNNNNNNNNNNNNNNNNNNNNNNNNNNNNNNNNNNNNNNNNNNNNNNNNNNNNNNNNNNNNNNNNNNNNNNNAAAAUAUAAAAUUUUAAAAUUAUAUAAACAAUUUUUUUAGUUAUUUUAAAAUUUAAAAAUAAUAUGAAUAAAUAAUUUUCUUUAGUUCAUAUGUGAAAAUAUUUGUAAAACAAAUAAAUAUUUUAUUUCCUAUAAAUAUAUAAAUUUUUAUGGGAAUGCAUGUAGACCAAAUUAUUUUCUCAAAUUUUCAUGGAAAAUAUGAAAAAAUAAAGAUAAUAUAUAUAUAUAUAUAUAUAUAUAUAUAUAUAUAUAUAUAUAUAUAUAUAUAUAUAUAUAUAUAUAUAUAUAUAUUUUUAAAAGAGUCGUAACAAAAAAAUUUGUGAAAAGCAAAGUUCUAAAAUCCCAUACUUUUUUAUAUAUGAGUUUCCUUAAAAAUAUUUGUGAAAAUUACAACACAAUUAUAAUUUUGAUAAAAAAAAUAUUUUAAAAAUAAUAUUAAAAUUACAACACCAUUAAAAUAGAUGCGGAUUGAAAAUAAUUGUAAAACCACAGUUACUAACGGUGGUUUUAUGGGUAUUUUGAUAAAAAAAUAUUUUAAAAAUAAUAUUAAAAUUACAACACCAUUAAAAUAGAUGCAGAUUGAAAAUAAUUGUAAAACCACAGUUACUAACUGUGGUUUUAUGGUUAUUUUGAUAAAAAUUAUUUUAAAAAUAAUAUUAAAAUUACAACACUGUUAGUAAAACCACAGUUAGUAACUGUGGUUUUAUGGUUGUUUUGAUAAAAAAAAUAUUUUAAAAAUAAUAUUAAAAUUAUAACACCAUUAAAAUGGGGACGGAUUAAAAAUAAUUGUAAAACCACAGUUAGUAACUGUGGUUUUAAGGGAAAUUGUAAAACCACAGUUUGUAACUGUGGUUUUAAGGAAACUUCUUUUAAAACCGCAGUUAGUAACUGUGGUUCUAAGAGAAAUUGUAAAACCACAGUUUGUAACUAUGGUUUUAAAGAAAUUUUUGUAAGUUCUAAAACCACAGUCACCAACGGUGGUUUUUUACACUUAAAAUCCAUGUGGAUUGCUUACGUGGAUAAAGAAGACUACUUUGACAAAUAUUUUCAAAUGGAUACUAUUCUUAUCAUUUUUUUUUACAAAUAUAUUAUUUUGGUCUUAAACUCAAUAAAAUUGGCCUCUCAAAGACUAGGUAGGUAACUAACUAACAAAAGAAAAGGUGCCUUUCAUUUCCCAUUCCAUGCAACAAAUAAAAAAAAAGUAGCCAAUUAAUUUGGGUUGUGUACUUGGGUUUUUAUUUAUGGCCAACCACUUAAAGACUAUUUAGAACAUAAGAUAUGGGACUCUAAAUCCACUUGCAGAAUCAUCCAAAAGAUUGCUUGAGAAAAUCCAUUUAUGUAGAUUGAAGCCCUCUUAUUAUUAUAAGGUUUGCUCCAAAUAAAAUGACUCUUCAAGGUAAAUAAAAAAUAAAAAAAAUAAAAUAAAAAAUCCAAGUAUAUGGUUUUGGACUAGUAAUAUUUGGAGCAAAUCUUAUAGUAGAGUAAUAUUCUAACUAGCAAAUUGUUCAUCUCCAUCAAGAUAGGGUAAUAUUGUAAAUAAACAAAAGAAAAACGAUAUCAUUUACAUAUAAAAUUAUGUUAUAUUCUAACUCAAACCUUAGAGGAAGGGAUUAACAUUAAAGUAGAAUAGGAUCUAUUUGUCAAUUGUCUUUUUUGUUUUCAAGAAUAAAAAGGGAAAAAAUAUGUUUGAUAAUUACAAAACAUAAAACAAUUUUUUUGUUCUUAAAAAAGGAAAGUAAAGUGACUUUUGAAAACAUAUUUUAGUUAUUUUUAGUUAUUUUAUAAGGACCGCUUUAAAAAAUAAUAAUUGAAAAUAAAACAUUACACAUAAAUUUUAUUUUUAAAAAUAUAAAAAAAGAAUUUAAAAAAAUGUUAAUUUUUCAAACAAACUUUUGUUCAAAAAAACAUUAUAAAAUUGUUUUCAAAAACUAUUUUUUGAAAACAAUUUUCAAAUUCAUUUUCAAACAACUAAUAAGUUUUUCAAUUCAUUAUAUUUUUUUAUAUAAAAUAAUAGUAAUAAUAUAAAAAAUAUGAAUAUUUUAUUUUAUCCUAAACCAAAUGUUAAUAACUAAAAUAAAUCAUAUUAAAUCAAGAAGCUAAACUAAACUGACUUCUCAAACAUCUCUUUGGUUGUACCUUCCUCAACAGCUACUAAAUUAGAGAAGUCUCAACUUCAUUUCAAGGAUUUGUUUUCCUUCUCAAUGCAAAAGGGAUAGACCAUUUUUAACCUUUCUUAUUAGAAUAAGCUAUGCUUUUUAACUGCAUAAGACUUGUAUCCUUCUAAGAUUUUGUCCUUUCAAUUUUUUGCUUUCUUCUUUUUACUUCUACUUGUUUACUUUUCUUAACCCAUAAAAACAAAAAAUCGGCGAAAUCAAUUCAAUGGAACAAUAACUGAUCAAUUUUGUUCAAUUUUCAACAAUUAUAAAGAUUGAUUUAAUUGAUGAAUUUUGAAAAUUCAUUUUGUUGGUAGAUUUUCAAUUAUAAAAACUUAACUAAAAUGACAAUCAAACUUAUAUAUAAUUAUUCAAUAUUUGAUGUUUUUUUCUUUUUUUUACAAAGCUUUACCAAAAUAAGUUAUUAUUCUUAGAUUAUGAUUAAAUUAAUUUUUAAAUGCAUCAAUUACAUUUUCGACUAAAAUUUUUAAAUAUAAUUUGAAUUUCAAAUCCAAAUUAAUUUCAAUUAUUCUUAAAAUCAAAUUAGACUUGAAAUCUAAAUUAACUUGCAUCCAAUGUAUUAAUCAUCUAAACUAAACUUUUAUCAAGUUUGGUUUGGUUUAAUUUUUUCAUCACUAAAAGGUGGAUUUGGUGCGACCAUACUCGUUUCUUGAAUCACACCUCUUUAUGCCUAUUCUAAAUAAACCUCUACUAAAUCAUAUUAAUAAAAUAUUUAGUGCUACCCAUGUAAAAUAGACAAAAAGGGAAACAACCAUUUUUUACCAUUGUGAUUCUCAUUUUCUUUACCAAUGUACAAAUCAGGUACCUAAAAUUCACUUUUGUUCAAUUUUUUCUUUCUUUAAUUGUAUGAUUCCCUCUUAAUCAAUGAAAUAUUUUUUGUUCGAAACCUACAAAAACAUGUUUAGACAAUUACUAUGAGCUUAUACUUUCCCUAAUCCCAUAUAGUAUAUUACAUUAUUUAUGAGUUAGGGCGAUAAGAUUGACGUAUACUAAUAAAAAAAAAUAAUAAGUCACCCCUCAAAGAUUAGGUAACUAAGGAACAAAAAAAGAGGUGUCUUUCAUUGCCUAUGUCAUGUAACCUAUAAAAUUAGCCAAUUGAUUUGGCCUAUGUAUUUAUGUUUUUAUUUAUGGCCGGCCACAAUUUAAAACAUUAGGUAAGGGAAUCAGAAUCGGAAUCCACUUGAACAACAAUCCAAAAUAUUAGGUAAGAAAAUCCACCCAUUUAGAUCAUUAAAAUACGAUCCACUUUCAUACAACAAUUAACAUUUUUCCUAUCUUGGUUGCCACUUGACAAUCAUUGGAAUGUCAUAUGGGUGUAUUUGGCAUAUCAUAAUAUUGAGUGGGAAUGAAGAUAAAUCAUAAUAUUAUGUGAGAAAACAAAAUCAAAAUCUUCAUCAAACUAGAUAUUGGUUUUUCCGAGAAUAAAAUUUUCAAUAUUAUUUUAUCCCUAAUUCCUUUUUUUUUUUUUUUUAGGAUUAAGAAUCUAUGCUAGAAAAUUCAGUGGAAAAGGGAUUAACCUAAUUUUAGGAGGUAUUUGUAGUUCAUUGGAUGGUGAAAAUGAAAAUAAAUUUUUCCUAAUUUUAUUUCUUUUUGAAAGAUUUAUAAAAAUGACUGAUUUUGAAGGGUUUUUUUUUUUUUUUUUUUUUUUUUUUUAUGGUUUUGAAAACCAUGAUACUUUAUUACUUGUAAUUUUCUGAUAUUUAAUUAUAAAUAUCAAAUAUCUAAUGUUUACUUUUUUUCAUCACUAAAAUGUUGAUUUGAUUUUGGUUUAAGUAUAAAUCAACUUUCCCUCAAAAAAAUUGUCAAAUUACACCUUUUUAUACCUACUCCAAAUAUCCGGUGCUACUUAUAUUAAGUAAACAAAAAAGAAAACAACCAUUGAGUCCGAGAGUUGAUUUUCAUUUUCUUUAUCAAUGUGAAGGUAUGCCACCUAAAUUAAAUUUAUUAAAUUUUUUCUUUUCUUUAAUUGUAAAACUUUACUCUUAAUCGUACAAAAUAUUAUCCAUUAAAAUAAAAAAUAAAAAUAAAAAUAAAAAUAUGUUUACAUAAUUAAAAGGAGCUCAUACAAUUAUAAUAUAAAGAACUUUUUGUAGGAUAUCACAUUAAUUGUGGGAAGGGUAACGAGAUCAUUACUGAUUUAAGAAAAAAAUAGAAAAAAAAUCAACCCUCAAAGAUUAGGUAACUAAGGAACAAAAGAAGAGGUGUCUUUCAUUACCUAUGUCAUGUAACCUAUAAAAUUAGCCAAUUGAGUUGGCUUAUGUAUUUAUGUUUUUAUUUAUAGCCGGUCACUUAAAUAUUAGUUAAAACAUUAGGUAAGGGAAUGAGAAUCCACUUGCAGAAUAAUCCAAAAGAUUAGGCGAGAAAAUCCACCGUUUUAGAUGAUUAAAGUAUGAUCCACUUUCAUAUAAAAAUUAAUAUUUUUCCUUCCUUAGUUGCCAUAUGACAGGAAUAAUGUAUAUACUAGUGAAUUUGGAAUAUCACAAUACUAGUAGCAUGUGAGAGAAAGAAAUCUUUCCGUAUAAAUUAUUUCAUAAGUUAUAUUAUAUUUUUUUUAUAAAAUAAGAAAAGUUAUUAGAAAUAUCUUUAUAAAUAUUUUAAGUUAUAAGAAGGAAAUCUCAUGAUAUGGAAAUAAGCUUGUAGAGACUAAAGGUGGAUAAAGAUGUGGAGAAUAAUACAAGACACUCGACGGAGCGAGGGGCUCGUGGUUCAAAGUGUGGAUACAAAGAGUGGAAAUGUGGAGUGAGGGGACUUAUGGUCGUGUGGAUACAAGGAAUGAGAAAUAUGAGAUAUUUUGGGAACCAAUAAUAUAAUAAAAAGAUUCUCUCUUAUCCAUAGACGUAAGUACUGAAUUGCAUUAAAAUAUCAUAUACAUUUGUGUAAAUCAUUUUAUAUUUAUAUUAUUGAACUAUCUUUGAUUAUAUUAAAGCUUCUAUUAGUACAACAAAUGUCUCGAAGUCUUUUUAGGAUUAAGAAUCCACAAAGAAAAUUCAAUAAUGGGUAGAAAAGGGAUUUAUCUUACUUUUAUAAUAAAAUAGUAAUUUUAGCAUUUAAAAGAAUAAAAUAAAAUAGUCCCUAGUACUUCCACAAUCAAGUAAGUCCUAAUAUAUUCUCAAUGUAUUUUUUGAAAUUAACUAUACAAGGCUUUGCUUAUUGUAGAAUCUUUUAAACCGUUAAAAAAACUUUAUUUGCAAAUGAAGAAUUUGAUUUAUAAGAGGUGUCUAAUCUCAUGGAAAAUAGAGUUUUGAUUUUGAUUUUCACUUUUAAUUAAAGCCAAAAGUAAAAACUUAUUUCAAUUAAGUUGAUAACCUAAAUUUUGACUUUAUAUUUAUUCCUUCAUAUAAUCUUCAAUUUUAUUUAAUAAUAAAUAAUUUUUUGUUUAAAUUUAAAAUAAAAAUCAAAGAAAAAACUUGUAAGUUGUAGCUCUACUUUAAAAAAUAAAUAAAUUUGAUAAUUUUUUUUAAAAAAAAAUGCUUUUAUGAAAGAUUGUUCUUAAACCAUUUUUUUAAAAAAAAAGAAAAAAAAAAUAUCAUAAAUUGCAGUCGUGUAACAAUUUAAAAGAAAAAAAAAAUCAAUCUACAACUAUCAUAAUUGUGACAUGGUGGAUUCAAGAUAGAACUCAUUUUUUCUGUCUCAGUGAUCAAGCCUUCACCUUACAGAGACAGGGGACCAGUUUCACUUGUUUCCAUCAUCCCUUCUCAACUCUGACUCUUUUGUUUUCCUUUGCGAAAAAAAAAACACCAUGGAAGUUGUUGGAAACGCUCUUCUUUCGGAUGUCCUUGGCUGGCUGUCUGACAAGUUGGGCUCCUAUGAUUUCAUUAAGUUUGCAAGCGAAGAGAAUGUCGACACUGAGCUCAAGAAAUGGGAGAAGGAGUUGCAGAGCAUCUGGCAAGAGCUCAACGACGCGGAGGAGAAGCAGAUCACAGUGGAUACUGUCAAAUCAUGGGUGUUCGAUCUGAGGGUUUUGGCGUAUGAUAUGGAGGACAUCUUGGACGAGUUUGAUUACGAAUUGAUGAGAAGAAAGCCGAUGGGGGCGGAAGCUGAAGAAGCCAGCACAAGCAAGAAACGUAAGUUCUUUACUAAUUUCUCUACUAGUUUCAAUCCAGCUCAUGUUGUGUUUAGUGUCAAGAUGGGGUCCAAGAUUAGAGAAAUCACCAGCAGGUUACAAGAUAUUUCAGCUAGAAAAGCUGGACUUGGCCUAGAAAAGGUGACAGUAGCAGCAGCUACUUCCGCUUGGCAAAGGCCACCACCCACUACACCUAUAGCAUACGAACCUCGCGUUUAUGGCAGGGAUGAAGAUAAAACACUGGUUCUUGAUUUGCUGCGCAAGGUUGAGCCCAAUGAAAACAAUGUUAGCGUUAUUUCCAUUGUUGGCUUGGGCGGGGUGGGCAAGACGACUCUCGCACGGCAGGUUUACAAGUAUGAUUUGGCCAAAAAUUUUGAACUAAAAGCGUGGGUUUGUGUGACUGAUGUGUUUGAUGUGGAGAAUAUAACAAAAGCAAUUCUCAAUUCGGUGUUAGAGUCUGAUGCAAGUGGGUCUUUGGACUUCCAACAAGUUCAAAAGAAAUUGACAGACACGUUAGCAGGGAAAACUUUUUUACUCGUUCUAGACGACGUGUGGAACGAAAAUUGUGGUCAUUGGGAUCUUUUGCGGGCUCCUUUUAGUGUAGGGUCCAAAGGAAGCAAAGUCAUAGUUACAACACGCAAUAAAAAUGUCGCAUUGAUGAUGGGAGCUGCCAAGAAUGUUCAUAAACUAAACCCUUUAUCUGAAGAUGCUUGUUGGUCUGUGUUUGAGAAGCAUGCAUUUGAACAUAGAGAUAUCAAUGAUCAUCCGAACCUGGUGUCCAUUGGUAGGAAAAUUGUUGGCAAAUGUGGUGGAUUGCCACUAGCAGCAAAAGCGCUUGGUAGUCUCCUACGCUCUAAGCAAAGCGAAGCCGAAUGGGAAACAGUAUGGAGUAGCAAAAUAUGGGAUUUGUUAAGCACGGAAAGUGAUAUUCUUCCUGCGUUGUGGUUGAGCUAUUACCAUCUUCCUUCAUAUUUGAAGAGGUGUUUUGCAUAUUGUGCAAUGUUCCCCAAGAACUGGAAGUUUGAGUCACAAGGUUUGGUCCUUCUAUGGAUGGCUGAAGGUUUAAUUCAGCAACCAAAAGGUAACGGACAAACAAUGGAAGAUCUUGGGGCCAACUAUUUUGAUGAAUUAUUGUCAAGAUCAUUUUUUCAACCAUCGACUAAUGAUGAAUCACGUUUUGUGAUGCAUGAUCUUAUACAUGAUCUAGCUCAAGUUGUAUCUGGUGAAAUAUGUUUUUGUUUGGAAUAUAACCUAGGCAGUAACCCGCUAUCCAUAAUUUCUAAACAGACUCGUCAUUCAUCAUUCGUUCGUGGAAGAUAUGAUGCGAUCAAAAAAUUUGAAGCUUUUCAAGAGGCAGAGCAUUUACGAACAUUUGUGGCUUUACCAUUUCUUGGUAGAAGUGGUCCAAAAUUUUUUGUGACUAGAACGGUUUAUGAUCAUUUGGUGCCAAAACUUCAACGACUAAGAGUCCUCUGUUUGAGUGGAUAUUUGAUACCUGAACUACCAGAUUCUAUUGGUGAAUUGAAACAUCUACGCUAUUUGAAUUUGUCUUUCACUCGAAUCAAAUCAUUGCCUGACUCAGUGAGCAAGCUCUAUAAUUUACAAACAAUUAUAUUAUUCGGGUGUUCGAAUUUUAGAAGGUUACCUCCCAACAUUGGGAACUUAAUUAACCUUCGACAUCUCAAUGUUGAAAGAUGUUUAAACCUAGACGAGAUGCCACAACAGAUAGGUAAAUUAAAGAACUUGCAAACUUUGUCUAAUUUUAUUGUGGGUAAAAGCAGAUAUUUGGGAAUAAAGGAGUUGAAGCAUUUGUCACAUCUCCGAGGGAAGAUUUUUAUCUCACGAUUGGAGAAUGUGGUGAAUAUUCAAGAUGCCAUAGAUGCCAAUCUAAGGACUAAGCUCAAUGUUGAAGAGUUGAUUAUGUCUUGGAGUAGUUGGUUCGAUAAUUUGCGAAAUGAAGACACCGAAAUGGAAGUCCUUCUCUCUCUACAACCUCAUACCAGUUUGAAGAAACUCGAUAUUGAAGCUUAUGGUGGUCGGCAAUUCCCCAACUGGAUAUGUGAUCCCUCUUACUCUAAAUUGGUGGAGUUAAGUAUUUGGGGUUGUAUGAGGUGCACUGAUCUACCUUCAGUUGGGCAACUACCUUUCCUCAAGAAGUUAGUCAUCGAAAGAAUGGAUCGAGUGAAAAGUGUGGGGCUGGAGUUUGAGGGGCAGGUUUCUCCUUACGCUAAGCCUUUCCAAUGCUUGGAGUAUUUAAGUUUUCGAGAAAUGAAGAAAUGGAAAAAGUGGUCAUGGUCAAGAGAGUCAUUUUCUCGCCUCGUCCAGUUGCAGAUAAAAGAUUGUCCAAGAUUGAGUAAGAAAUUACCCACUCACCUAACUUCUCUAGUAAGACUUGAAAUUAACAAUUGCCCAGAAACGAUGGUUCCACUUCCAACACAUCUACCUUCUCUUAAAGAGCUCAAUAUUUGUUAUUGCCUAGAAAUGAAGCCCUCUAAAAGAUUACAGCCUUUUGGACGAUUGCGAGGAGGGAGUAGAAGUGCAAUUGACAUCACCUCACGUGUUUAUUUCACAAUUAAUGGAAUGUCAGGGCUUUUCAAACUUGAGCAAAAAUUUUUGCGGUCCUUGCCAAGGCUUCAACUACUGGAGAUCGACGAUUCUGGUGUGUUGGACUGUUUGUGGGAAAAUGGGUUGGGAUUAGAAAAUCUCGCUAAGCUUCGAGUAUUGGAUUGUAACCAACUUGUAUCCUUGGGAGAAGAGGAAGCGCAAGGGCUGCCUUGUAAUCUUCAGUAUUUGGAGAUACGUAAAUGUGAUAACUUGGAGAAGCUUCCACAUGGAUUAUAUAGCUAUGCAUCUCUCAGAGAGUUGAUUAUAGUGGACUGUGCAAAAUUGGUGUCAUUUCCAGAUAAGGGUUUCCCGCUCAUGCUUAGACGUCUUACUAUUGCUAAUUGUAAAAGUCUAAGUAGCCUACCUGAUAGCAGUAAUUGCAGCAACAUGGUGUGUGUCCUUGAAUACUUGAAUAUUUACAAGUGUCCUUCUCUCAUUUGCUUUCCAAUAGGGCAGUUACCCACCACCCUUAAGGAACUCCAUAUAUCCUAUUGUAAAAAUCUAAAGUCUCUUCCAGAAGACAUCGAGUUUUCUGCCCUUGAAUACGUAGAGAUAUGGGGGUGUUCGUCUUUCAUUGGUCUUCCAAAGGGAAAACUACCACCAACCCUGAAGAAGCUCACAAUAUAUGGGUGUGAAAAGCUAGAGUCUUUACCAGAGGGAAUAAUGCAUCACCAUUCCAACAACACAACCAAUUGUGGUCUUCAAUUCUUGCAUAUAUCGGAAUGUUCAUCUCUCACAUCCUUCCCUAGAGGCAGAUUUCUCCCUACCCUUAAAUCUAUUAAUAUUUAUGAUUGUGCACAGCUGCAACCAAUUUCAGAGGAGAUGUUUCAUCGCAAUAAUAAUGCACUUGAAGUUUUGUCCAUCUGGGGAUAUCCCAAUCUCAAAACUAUACCAGAUUGCCUCUACAACCUCAAAUAUCUUCAGAUCACAAAAUGUGAGAAUCUGGAGUUGCAGCCUCAUCAAUUGCAAAGCCUCACUUCUCUUACAUCACUCCAUAUCCAUGAUUAUGAGAAUAUGAAGACGCCCUUAUCAGAAUGGGGCCUUGCCAGAUUGACCUCUUAAAACUCUCACCAUUUCUGAUUAUCACCACCACCACCACCACCCACUGCUUCUUCCUACUACUCUACUUAAUCUUUGCAUUUCAAGAUUCGAGAAUCUGGAAUCCUUGGCCUUCCUGUCUCUCCAAAGGCUUACUUCUCUUGAAACGCUAGAUAUCUCCGGAUGUCGUAAGCUGCAGUCGUUUUUGCCAAGGGAAGGGCUGUCUGAAACGCUUUCAGCCCUAUUUAUAGAAGAUUGCCCACUCCUAAGUCAAAGGUGCUCAAAAGAGAAUGGGCAAGAUUGGCGCAACAUCGCCCACAUCCCCUAUGUGCAAAUUAGGUAGUCGAUUGAUCUUUGAGCAAUAAAAGUUGAGAUUGCAGCAAAAUGAAUGUAGAGGCCAUUCCACCAUAUCCUCUCCUUAUGUGCCACAAUCCCUUGUAAGUGUCAUUUGUUUUAUUAUUCCACAUUUAUUUUAUGACACAUUCUUGUACUUAAGUUGAUGGUUUCAUCUCUGUUAUUGAGAGUUAUCUUCUAUUUCUUGCUUUCUUUCUUUUUGUCUUUCUUUUCUGUUUAUUAGGUUAAGGAGAUGUGAUAAAUAUGGGGAUUUGGCAAUUUCAUCUUCACUUCCAUGUAAGUUUCUCUAAUUGUGCCAUUUUGUUGAAUUUGAAUACUAACCUUGUUUUUUCUAUUUCUCAAUUAUUCUGAUUUUUUUAAUUUUGGACAAUUUGUCUCACUUUUGUUCAUUGUUUAAUACUUCAACUGAUUUUAUUUUUUUUCCUGGUUUUAAUGAUCAUUUUUCUAAAGUUUUCUACUUCCAUGCUUGUUAUGUUUUAUAGGUACCUGCUAGAAGGGGCCUUUAGCUUCUUGACCUUUCUCAGUAGUCGAUCCAAUUGCAGGAACUGGAGUCGAUUUAAGCAAAAGAUCUGCAGAUAAAACUUACUGAAGGCUUUCCCAGCUGUAUGAGUCCGAACUCUAUCUUUGGCCUCAUGUGAUUUGUGUCAUUAGAUUGUAUAUCUACACAAUACCCAUAGGCUAUCCAUUCCCUUUCUGUUAAAAUCAAGCUUGCCCAUUCAUUAUGCAUAACUUUUUUCUUCUUAAGAAGUAGUUUCAAAAUUUUCAUCUUAAAGGAAUUCCUUUUCAUGCAUGUAGGAUGUAAGGUGAAAAUAAUGCAAAUGGAAUCCAAUUCUCUAACAACAGGGCCAGCCAGUUAGAGUGAGUAUGCUAUAUUUCAUUCAUGAUCUUUUUUUAUUUCAUAUAUUUCAAUUGCAUUGUCCUCAAGUAGCAUUCUUAUCUGACGUAUCUCUAAAUAAAGUUCCCCAUUGUUUUCCCUAAAUAUUCAUAGAUAUGCAUCUAUUAAAUUAGGCCAUGUUCUUAAUGCUUUAUAGACCUAUGAUUUAUCAACCUAUGGUUUCAUUUUCUCCAUCACAGGAUUGGACCAUGUUUUUAUAAUUUUCCAUUCAUCAACAUGAUCUUUGUUCAACUUACAGGCUUUUCAAGUCAGUAAUAAAGAACAUCUCUGAUUGAAAUGCUUCAUUUUCUAGGAAUAUCUCUCAUUAUAACUUAUUUUACUUAUGAGCUUUUAACUACAUUCCUUUUUACAAUAAUGCAGGAUUGGCUUUUGCUAAAAAAUAUUGAUUCUUCAUUUUGGUCUCCUUCACAGUCAUUGUAAGCAUCACUAUUUCUACAUCAUUGUUAUCUUUGUAAAUAAUUCUGGCUUGAAUUGUAUAGCAUACUUAUACAAGUCAAAGUUGCAGAAGUCAUGGCCCAAAAAUUACCAUCUCAUGUGGAAUCGGGAGAAAGGAAAUCUGCAAGUUGAGAUACAAUGAGAGUGAGCUAUGCAAAUUCUUACAUAUUCAAAACCUUUUUAUUUGUACAAUUUAUUCCGAUGGCUUUUCAAUAAUCAUGUUUGCAUUUCAUUUGAUUUUAAAUUUUCAAGGAGAUUUAGGGCUCAAAAUAGCUACCAUUGACUUCAGAAUUGUACUUCAAUAUCUGAGGAGCAGUCCCUUGUUGUAACACGAAAUGCUUUUGGAAGCUGGUUAUAGAAUUCCUGGGGAAUGGUGAUUUUCCCUAUUAAUUUGGUACGCUUUUUGACUCAUUCUCCAGCAUAUUAUUGGAGAACCUAUUUUUUCCCUCAAUCUUUUACUUUUAGGAAGAUUUUAGCUCAAGUCAAAUCCUCUUUUUAGUGAAAUUAUGGAUCUUUAAUUAGUGUUUUGCAGACCACUAAUAUUAGGAAUAUGAUGGUUUGUGUUGGAAUACACAAAUUUCUCUUUGAAUCCUUGAACCCAGUGUACCAUCUCAAACAUUUCUUUUUGUUUUACAGAUGAAUGUUGGAAAUAGGAUAGGCUGAUGAAGGCCAAAGAAUCAGUUUGGGGUAGAUUUGGAGAUCAAUCACUGAAUGGUUCAGAUUAUUUCUUUUUCUAAUUUCAUUUGAUUUAGAGUGGAUGCAGAGGCUAUACUUAUGGUAAUAAAUAUGCAGUACCCUGUUGUUCAUAGUGAUCAUGUUAGACUAAGAUUUUUUAUCAACUUCUACAUGUGGCUUAUGCCAAGAAGUGAAGGUCAUUACCCAUUGCAGGUUCGGUUUUGGGGCUUUUGUGAAGGACGGAUGGACCUGAAUUUGAGCAUUUUUUACUGAAGAUGAUGAAUGGAGACUUGAAUCUGCCCUAUUUCGCCAAGCAACAACGUAAAAAAUUAUGCAAGGUUUGCUAACUCGUCAAUCUAUCCUAAACUAAAUAUUGUGUGAUGGAAGUGGAUUGUGACAGCUUACUCCUUGGGAUGGAGUUAAGGAUUUUUUUAUUCCCUCAUUCAUCUUUGUUUUAGCGUAUUUGUGAUUCAUUCUUAAGCUGUUUCCUUUCCUUUUUAUCUGAGUUCGCCAAUAUGUUCAUUCUUAAAUAUUUUGGCAUGCCUAAAAACUACCCGUAAGGAAACAUGUUAAUACCCUGGAUUGUGAGCAUUAAAAAAAAGGUCAUCUUGGUAUUAUGGUAUAUGGUGGUAAAAAAAUGAAAGAAUUUUAGUUCUUGUAGCCCUAAAAUGAUCUUCUAUUUGCUACUAAUGCAGUCUUAUUUUGAGUGUUGUGAGUAAACUGGACUCAUUUCAUUUUUAAAACUCAGUGGAAGUACCUUUAUUCCUUGGAGCUUCCAAUCAAACCCUAAGGCUAUGUUUGGUUCCCAGAAAAUGCUAAGGAAAGGAAAAAAAUGCAAGGGAAAAUGAUUUUCUGUAGUUUGGAUGAUGUGGAAAAUAUGAUGGAAAAAAAAUACAAAGGAAAAUAUUAAAGAAAAUAUGGUAAUAUUUUCCCCAUUAUUUUCCUUAAAAAAUAAUGAGGAAAAUAAGAGAAAAGAGAAGGGAAAAGGGGGGAAAAUUUUAUCGGGCUCUUCUUCGCCCAGGCUGCACCUCUAACUUCCUCUUCAUCGGUGGCUAUGACAUUUCACCGUCGUUGACCCUUUCAACGGCCACCAGUAUCACUCCGACCACCUUCCAGUGCCGAAAACUGUAACUCCUUGUCGAUCCUCUCUCCAAGUCUCAAGCCCAAAUCCAUCAGAUCUUCGUCAUUCAUCUCGCUGGUCGUCCCUGCAAUUUUUUGAACCUGAAAAGCGCUCCAAAAUAUGUGAAAAAGGGUGAAAGAUCGAAGCUUCGGGUCACUCUUGAUGUGUCAGAGGCGCGGAAGAGGAAGAGACCUGAUUAGGGAAAUGUGGUGACUAGGGCUAGGGUUUCGAGGAAUGCGAGUUUAAGGCCGAAGAAGCGGGUUUAUUACAAGAAGGUUGUGUAUGAUGGGGGUGAAUUUGCGGUGGGCGAUGAUGUGUAUGUGAAAAGAAGGGAAAAUGCGAGCUCGGAUGAUGAAGAAUUGCAAGUGGAGGAGUGUAGGGUAUGUUUCAAGUCGGGAAGGGCUGUGAUGAUUGAGUGUGAUUAUUGUCUGGGUGGGUUUCAUUUGAAGUGUUUGAAACCACCGCGCUGAAGGAGGUUCCAAAAGGGGAUUGGAUUUGCCAUUUUUGCGAGGCCCGGAAAUUGGGUAAGGAGGUUGUGCUUCCAAAGCCACCCAAAGGGAAGAAACAAAAGAGAACUGCAAUGGAGAAGCUUCUUUCCAGUGAUUUAUGGGCGGCUCAUAUUGAAAAGUAUAGUCCUUUAUCUCCUUUUACUAAAUUGUCUGUUUGAUUACUGAUAAAAUGUGGGAAAAGGAAGCGAAUCAAUUUGAAACUUGAAUGCUAUGUCGUUCAUUAUAAAGUGAGUUUGACAUAACUAUUUGGAUUGAUUGAUUUGAGUUUUUAAUUUCUAAGGAGCAAAAUGACCAAAAACAUGGGACUUGAAAUUCUGUUUUCUUUUCUUUUCUUUUCUGGUGCUUCUGAGGGACAAGAAAAAAGAGAAAAUGAUAUGAAUUCUUAUUCUUUUAUUGUAGUAGUAAUUGUGUGGACUAUGGAUCAUUUUUUUUAUGUUGGAGAUGUGCAAUAUGUGGAAAGAAGUGGAUGGUACUUACUGGUUUCGGAGGCGAUGGUAUAUCAUCCCUGAAGAGAUUGCGUUGAUUGUAACAUUUAACCUAUUUACUGGAAAAGGACUUCUUAAAUAUAUCUUCAACCUUGAAAAUGGAGAAGUGAAGUCUCAGGCAAGCAUUUCAUAGAGUGACUUUUUUCUUUUAGUUUUGUAUUAAAUAUAUCUCCAAAUAAUCCAACUGGUCAUGUUGCAUCAAGAAGACAAUCAGAGGAACUGGUAUCGUUUGCAAAAGCAAAUGGAUUAAUCUUUGAAUGAGACUGAUAUCUUUCUACCAAUUUAUUCCAAGAGUUCAAUUUUUAUUUUCCUGAAAUUUUUUUAUUAUUCAACAAAUUGAUAACCAUCUAACAUGAAUUUAUGAUUUUAUUUUCCUUUCAUUUUUCCUUUAUUUUUUUUCAUGGUUAACCAAAUAAAAGAAAAUGAAUUUUUUUUUUCCUUUGAAUUUUCCAUGGAUUACCAAACAAGUGAAAAAUUUUAUUUUCCUUUCCUUAGCUUUUUCUUUCAUUCCAUUUUUCCUCCCAAUUUUCUUUCUCUCGCAUUUUCCGGGAACCAAACAUACCCUAAAUUUUCUUAAAGAUAUGGCUUAUAUUGGGUGAGAGGGGGAAUAUGAUUUUAGUAUGCUCUGCUUGUUGGGUGCCAUUUUAUGCUUCCCCGCAAUCUUUUUACACUUUGUGAAGCAAGUGACAGUGUACCAAAGUUUAUCUAAUUGGAAUUUUGCCUUCACAUAUAUAUAUAUAUAUGUUCAUGCAUGAUGAAAUUUAAAUCACUGAAUGCUGGCUUGCUUCCCCACAGAUACAUCCAUGUCACUAAAGCUAAAAAUGAAGGUUGCGUUUUCUCUUAAACUUGGAAGCUCAUGAUGUAGUAAUACCUCAUAAUGUCAAAAAGUAAUUAAUGUCUGUCCUCUGCAUGUACAUUUUAGUGUUAAUCGUUUCUGGGAUUCUUGCUUGAUAUUUAAAAAGGUUCACAUUUCAGUUCUGUCUUGUAGAUCAUGCUUUUGGAAGCUCCUCACAACCCGAAAGCUGGAGUGCUUCAUCUGUAUAUCCUUGAGUUCUAUCAGAUGGGUGGAAAGCCAAUUACAAAGAAAUAUGGACAGGGCUUUCUCAUAUGUGGUUAUAUCAUAUCAAUUCAGUUGGCCAACAUCCAAUAGUCCAGAGGAAGGUCCUUGCUGACAAUGAAUAUUGAUGAGAGCAUCAAUAGAAGUUUUGAUGGACCUGAACAAAGUUAAAACAACUCGAGGACCAGAUUACCUGUACAACUCCCAGCAGCCAAAUGGACCUCUGAGGACCAUUAAUGAGAGAGCAUCGUUGCAGAUUCCAGACUUAAGACAUUGCUGGAGUAUUGAAUUCUGAAUGUAAUACAGGAGAAAAUUUUGUUUAUAUGUAUUAAUGUUGAUGAAGUUUUGGUUAGUAUGGUAUGGUUGAGAUCAUGGUUUGUGGAUUUGUUGUUCAUUGUAGUUAUCAGAAAUGACUGAACAAGGCUACCUUUUAUUCUUAAGAAAUUCUGGUUUUAUAAUUCUGCUACAAUCAAUACAAGGUGUGGAAGUGCAAUUGAUUAUGUUUAUGCAUGAACUUCUUUGGAAUCCCAUGUCUCUAACAUUCCCUUCAUCUGUAGUUGCUAACCAAGCUUUCACACACAGCAAACCAUUAAUUCUUUCUGCUUCCCCUCUUUACAGCAUCCUUUAGAUUCCCACUCUUUCUCUCUUAAGAAACCAGGCAAAUUGUUGAGGUUGCCCUUUCUGUUUCCCCUCAAGUGCUGUUUGGCAAGCUGGUUUCCUCUGAUUUGCGGAAGUUUGCAUGCCUGGAGCAAGUCCAAACCCAGCUCAAGAAAUGGCAGAAAAUGUUGGAAUUUAUAUGGGUGAAUGGAAAUUAGGAUUAGACACAACUUGUUUUAAAGGAUGUGUCUUGUAUUUAAAAGACACAACCUCGUACAAAGGAUGUGUUUGGUGUUUUAAGACAACCCUUCAAAGGAUGUGUCUAGUAUUUUAAAGAUACAUCUCUUCUAAUAAGUCACCAACAAAUCUAUAAAUAGGGAUGAUAUUUCUUAUUCAUUCAUUCAUCUAUUCUCUUCACACUUUCUCAUUUCUUGUCAUUCAAGUCCUCCUUAACUUUAAGUCUAGUCAUUUUUCGUUUUUAUUAAAUAUUUGGUGUUCAAGAGAGUACAAAUCACUAAGUGAUUUUUAGUUUCUUGUAAUUUGAAGUGUUACUAUCACAAUAAAGUGAUCAUUGUAUCCUGAGAGACGACUGUCAACAAACCAUAAGUACUUGAGCGGAACAAAUUCAUCUUAAGGACAUAGAGUCAAACUUUAGUCUCAAUCAACCUUAUUUGUGAGUUUCAAUUUUCUACUUCAUUUUAUUUGUAUAUUUAUUAUACACACUUAUUAUCCAUAUAUUCAAUGAUUUGGACAACAAUCUUAAGACGAAGUUGCUUUUAUUUCUAAUUUUAUUACAAUUGAUCUUUUAGUGAAGAUGGUUUCUGCAUCUUCUAUCAUACCUCCUACUAUUGCACAUGGUGAGAAACCUGAGAAGUUCACUGGGACAGACUUCAAGAGGUGGGACCAAAAAAUGUUGUUCUACCUUACAAUAGGAUUGGCAACGGGGCGGAUUUGGGCGGGGCCACCCCUACCCCAUUCCUGUCCCAAUUAUAUAAAUCCCUUUCCCAUCCCUAUCCCAUACCCGGGGUGGGACGGGUUAAUGUCUCCCAUUACCAUUUACAAAAGAGUUGAUAAUCCCAUCCCCGUACCAAAUGUGUUUUCGGGGCGGGGCGGCGUCGGGUGCUGGCCCAUGCCAUCGGGACCAUCAGCAACAUCUUCCAAUUUCGGAACAACUUCAGAAUCUCGACGGCCUCCGUUGACACAUUGGAGUACUUGAUGUUGGUACAGUGGCUGUCGUCAUCCCGAACCACGUGGCUCGGGUGCAAGAUCGCCAGCUUGAGGACGGUGUCGACGGACAUGAAGCACAUGAAGCACAUGAACCCAAUGUAAGUAUCUUUGUUCACGAAUGCAACCUCGCUCCAUUUGUAAGUCAGAAUGAAGGGGAUGAGCCCGCCAAUGACGCCCCUCAUAUUGAAGAUGCUCUAGAACAGCGAUAUGUAUGAACCCUUUCUCCCCGGCAGGGGGUACAACGUCAUGAUAGCUCCCUACCCCACCCAGAGCAAUCCUGCUCUGAUUCCGAGGAUGGCGCCAAUGACAAUGGCGAAGCCCUGGUGCUGGUAGUGGUUGUAGUAAAGGAAAGAGCCGGCGUAGAAGACGUAGGUUGAGCAACCAGUGAAGAGGGUGAAGUAGGGGCCGAGGAUGUUGUAGAUGCCACCACCCAAGAUGCCGAAGAUGGCGAAGGUGGUGUAAAGGGCGAUGUUAGAAUUAUUGGCGGCGGUGGCAUCCACCUGCCCACCUCCCCCCAUCCCGGAAAGGGCAUUGAACAUGCUUGGACAUCAGAAGUAUACCAAGCCAAUCAAACAGACCUGAACUAGUGGGGAAUUGUAUCUAAAAAUGGAUUUGUUAGGCAACCCCACCACUGACUCUUCAUCUUCCCUAAACCCCAUUUCUCUUCUUACCCACUAGAUCAUAUUAGAAUCAGAUUCAAAUCCAGAGUCUCUAUGUAUGUUGGUAAUUAAAAUUUCGGGGCGAGGCGGGUAACUACAAACCCAUACCCGCCCCGAACCCGAUUCGGGUUUCACAAAACUUUCUCAUACCCGAUUAAUUUAUCCCAUACCCGUUCCAAUAGGGGCGGGUGACUCGAUUGACAUGUGAAAUUGCCAUUCCUACCUUACAACUGUGAAUCUUGAUUGGGUCCUAUAUGAGGAUGCCCCUAUAUUAAAGAAGGGUGAAACUGAUAAACAAAUGGAAGCUUGGAAUUAUUCUAACUUCCUAUGCAAGAAUUACAUCCUCAAUAGUUUGGACAACACAUUGUACAAUAUGUAUAGUCCAAUAAGAACUACUAAGGAACUUCGGGAGUCCUUAGAGAAAAAAAAAUACAAGACAAAGGAUGUUGGCUUGUGAUAAUCAAUUGACUAUUGGAAGAACACAGAAUAACAUGUAUAAUGGUAAGUCUCGACAUAUACGUCGAAGACAUAAUACAAUAAGACAAUUAUUUUCAAAUGGAGUGAUUUCCAUUGAUUAUAUCAAAUCAAAGGAUAACCUUGCGAAUCCGCUUACUAAAGGUUUGCCAAAGAUCAAGUUAACUACUUAUCAAGUGGAAUGAAAUUAAAGUCUAUAACCAAAAAGUCUUCAUAAUGGUAACCCAACCUAGUUGACUAGAGAUCCCAAGAUCUAGGCUCAAAGGGACAACUAAGUUAUGAAUGACUAAGAGAAAUAUUAAAAAGAUAAUCUCUCUUAUCUAUUCCUAUUAUGAAAUAGUGUUUUAUGCCCGUGAACAAGGUUAAGCUUUGCCUUUAAUGAGUCUUAUAACUUGGAAAACAAGUGGGGUAUGACAAGACGCUCUUAAUAAGAAUUACUUAUGUGAGUGUGGAAGGGAGUCGUUCCCAUGAUAUUUUUUAAGGAUGAAAUUCUCUAUAGCACUCAUGAAACCAAGAUCUUUGUAGGACCAAAAUGAACACAACCAUGAGAAUCAAUGGUGAUUCGGAAGGGAAUUGUGUGGAUAAUAUUGUCUUGAUUUACACCAACGGUUAAACAAUUCAAGACAUCAUGUUCAUUGAUUAGCUCGUAAAUUCGAUAAUAUUUCACUAAGGAAGGUUCAAAGUCACAAGCUACCUAUCCUGACACAAUUACUUUCCAAGUUGUACUCUCUUGAAUGAUUAGCUUGUCAUUUUCAUUUUUUAAGACAAUUUCCAUUCAUGUGGGGGAGUGUUGGAAUUUAUAUAGGUGUGUUAGUCCAAGGGUUCUCCUAAUCGGGUUUUGAUGAUAACAAACCAUGGUUAAGUAACUAAUUGGUUUAAUGUUUAAGAAUCUCAGGUAUAAACUCGAAAAUUCAUCAAAGGACCAAAUGGAUACAAGAUCGAGACGCUUGGAAGACUUGAGAUCAUAGGAAAUGAAUGUAAGAUGAUAGCAUGAGUGCACUUAGGAUGUUCAUACCUUUUCAUGCAUAUUAGAAAACUCGGUUUAUUAUUUAAAAGUUGAUUUUCUUUAAAACCCGAGUUUUAUCAAAUAUACCUUAGGCAAAUUGAUUCAAAAUUGACAUAUUAACUCACCUAUAGACCUUGCCUAAGUGUUAGAAAAGAAAGGAAUAAAAAAAUAGGUUUUUCGGGGCCAAAAAGGCUCAACCAAUCGAGGCUAAGGCCAACCAGUCAAUCGGUUGAGGAACCGGUCAACCGGCUGAGGUCGUCCAGUCGAGGACCGGUCGAGGAAGGUUAAAAACCUUCUCUCUCUCCCAAUAGCCAUCUCUUCCCGGUCGAAGUGAUUCCUUUACCGGUCGAGGUCCGGUCGAGGUCCGGUCGAGGUCCGGUCGAGGACCGAUCGAGGUCCAGUUGAGGCAACGAUAACCUGUCAUGCAUUAAAUGCUCCAACGGCUAGUGAACCGAUCGACCCCUAGCUCGACCGGACGAGGUUUCCUUUUGUUGUUUUUGACUCCUGAGCUUAGAAACCUAUAAAUUGAGAGCUCCUCUUCAUUUAUUGAUAAGAGAACAAUUGCAUUCAAAGCCUACCUACCUGUUCUCGAUCAAAAAGCUCUCAUUUCUUUUUUAGUGCAUCAAACCAUCACUUGCAUACUCUUAGUGCACUCUUGUAAAUCAUCCUAGCUUUCUCUUGUACUUGAGUCAUUCUUAAGCUAGGUUGAGAGUUUCAUCUUUGUGUAAACUGAGUGUGAAAGCCUUCAAGUGGUUCAAAUCUUGAAGAGAUUGUGUAAGAGCCCAUUGGAGCCGGAAUCCAAGUGUAAGAAGAUUGAAAGCUUGAUUGAAGCUUCAAGUUAGUGGAACUCUCACUUGGUUAGGAGAUUGAGGAGAGUGGACGUAGGCAAGGGAGUGCCGAACGACUAUAAACCCAAGUUUAAAUUCUCUAACUUUAUCUCUUUCCUUUAUUUAUUUUGUGCAUAUAUUAUUGCGUGGAAAAAGAUUUUGAAAAACCUAAUUCACCCCCCCUUUUGGGUAUUUUCCUUAAUUAUUCAUAGUCUUUGUUUUAUCAAGGUGAAUGAAAAUUAGGAUUAGACACAACUUGUUUUGAAGGAUGUGUCUUGUAUUUAAAAGACACAACCUCUUCCAAAUGAUGUGUUUGGUGUCUUUAAGACACAAUCCUUUAAAUGAUAUGUCUAGUAUUUUAAAGACACAUCUCUUCUAAUAAGUCACCAACAUAUUUAUAAAAGGGACCCAUGACAUUUCUUAUUCAUUCAUUCAUCCAUUCUCUCUACUUUUUCUCCUUUCUUGUCAUUCAAGUCCUUAGCUUCAAGUCUAGUUAUUUCUCUUUCUACCAAAUAUUUGGUAUUUAAGAGAGUAAAAUAACCAAAUGAUUCAUUGUUUCUUGUGAUUUGAAGUGUUAUUAUCAUAAGAAAGUGAUUGUUAUAUUCUUGGAGACUAUUGUCAAUAAACCAUAAGCACCUAAACGGGACAAAUUCGUCUUAAGGACAUAGAGUCAAACUUUAUCAAGAGAAUCCUUGCGGAAAAUCCUUGCAGUUCUAAAAUGGUGCCAAGAAAAAAGAAAAAAAAUAUUAAGAAAAAUAGUUUAUUUAUAUUGAAAAAUAUGUUUAUAUAUUUUUAAAUUAUAGAAUUUUUAUACAGAAGAAGAACCAAUUGCAGAGAUCUGCGACAUCCUUUCUCUGUAAUUCAUCAACAAACUAUUACAUAUUUAGCUUCAAAAAUAUCUCACACAAAAUUAUUAUAGAUGUGGUUACAACUUACAAAUAUUUGAUAUGAAAUACAGAAGGCCCAAAACUAACAGCCUAUAGUACAACACAGAUUAGGCCCAUAACACUAAGCCCAACAAGCCCAAUGAACCCUGGUUUAUUUAUUUACCAUCAACAGCACACCAACUACCCUUAGCUUCAGACCCUUCCCAAACGCUGCCUGUCCCAAGCCGCCUUCUUCUCUCUUGCUUCCUGCCAGGCUACCACUGCUCCCACAUAGCUGAGAGAGAUGCUAUGAAUGGGAGCAAGCUUCCCUUUUUUAUAGACCUCAAGGGAAGUUCUUCAAUUGCGGUUUGGGAGUUGGAUGGCAACUAACAUUGGUGAACAUAGGCGGCAGUGGUGGUGCUGACUUCAAUCUUCCAGCGUUUCCGGCGAGGCGGUGGUGGUGGUGGAGAGGGCAUAGGGUGCUGUUCCUGUUAAAAUCUAAUCCAAGUGGAGUUGGCUAAUGGUAUUAUUUGUUGACAUUCCCAGUGAUUUACAGAGUGUUUUUGAUGGUUGGUGUCUUAAUUGAUUUUUCCUUGGAAAAGAAAUUGUCUGCUUUGCUGAGAGUUGAUGCCUUUGGAGCAUCUCUGGUCUCACCCGCUUUAGAGCCCUUCUUUUCUUUACCACCCCCAGCAGCAAAUGUCCUGCAGCCCAGCACCCUGACUGCCUCCCCUGUGAUGAUGAAACUUCUCAUUGAUUUUAUGCAGUUCAUUGCCAUGUCUUUUCCCUGCAAAAAUAUUUUACAAAAUCAUCAAUAGUUCAAGGUUCAAUUUCAACGUAACAUGCUUCCUUUAAUACCCCAUAUCCACCACUUUGUAAUACGCCACUGCUAUACUCUACAAUGCGGCAAUAGACUACAAAUCCCUUUAAUGAGUUGGGCAAAGCAGUAGGGACUCAAGCAGUAGUCUCUCUACCAGUGCAUCACCAUUCCAACAACACAACCAAUUGUGGUCUUCAAAUCUAGCAUAUCUUGCAAUGUUCAUCUAUCGCAUCCUUCCCUAGAGGCAGAUUUGUCUGUCCCUUAAAUCUAUUAGGGUUGGUGAUUGUGCACAGCUGCAGCGAAUUUCAGAGGAGAUGUUUCACCACAAUAAUAAUGCUCUUGAAGAUUUGAACAUCUUGGGGUAUCCCAAUCUCAGAAUCAUACCAGAUUGCCUCUACAACCUCAAAGAUCUUCAGAUCGGAAAAUGUGAGAAUCUGGAGCUGCAGCCUCAUCAAUUGCAAGGCCUCACUUAUCUUACUUCACUCAAGAUCACUAAUUGUGAGAAUAUCAAGAUGCCCUUAUCAGAAUGGGGCCUUGCCAGGUCGACCUCUCUUAAAACUCUCACCAUUUCUGAUUAUCACCACCACCACUCAUUGCUUCUUCCUACUACUCUAGCUGAGCUUUUCAUUUCAAGCUUCAAGAAUCUGUAAUCCUUGGCUUUCCUGUCUCUCCAAAGGCUCACCUCUCUUAAAAGGCUAUGCAUCUCCAGUUGUCCUAAUCUCCAGGGCUGUUUAACAUGCUUUCAGAACUAUUUAUAACAUAUUGACCACUCCUAAUUCAAAGGUGCUCAAAAGAGAAACGGGAAGAUUGGCCCAAGAUUGCCCACAUCCCCUAUGUGAAAAUAGAUGACAGAUUGAUCCUUUAGCAAUAAGGAGUUGAGAUUGCAGCAAAAUGUACGCAGAGACCAUUCCACUAUAUAUAUAUAUAUAUAUAUAUAUAUAUAUAUAUAUAUAUGCUUGGUAUUUUUUCUUCAGUGUGCCACAAUUCCUUUUUGUGCACAUUGGAUGUGAAGGAGAAAAUAAUGCAAAUGGAAUCCAAUUCUCUAACCAGAGGUUCAGCCAAUCAAAUUGAGUAUACUCUAUUUCAUUCAUAUCUUUUUUGACUUUAUGCAUUUCAAUUGCGUUGUCCUCAAGAAGCAUUCUUUUCUCAUAUAUCUCUAUAUAAAGUUCCGCAUUUUUUUUCCUUACGUGUUCAUAGAUAUGCAUUUAUCAACUUAGGCCAUGUUCUUAAUGCUUUUAAACCUAUGAUUUCACAUUUUCCCAUCACAGGAUUGGACCAUAUCUUUAUAAUUUUCCAUUAAUCAUCAUCUUUGUUCAACUCAAAGGUUUUUCAAGUGAGUAAUAAAGACUACAAAUGGUUAGAUAUCACUUUUUUCUUUGUCCUCUUGAUUGCCAUGCUUCUCUAUUUGGAAUUGGAUUCUUCUGUUUGUAACUUAUUUUUCGUUACAUUUUUAAUUGCAUUCCUUCUUACAAUAAUUCAGGAUUGACCUUUUCUCAAAAAUAAUUGUUCUUCUUCUUAGUCUCCUCUUCAGUUAAUGUAAGCAUCAAAUUUCUAUCUCUUUGUUAUAUAUGUCUUCCUUUUUCUCAUUACAUAUACAUGAGGAAGAUUUUUUGACUUCCAUUAUAAGUUUUCAAUAACUAUGUUUGCAUUUCUUUUUAUUUCAAGGAGAUUCAGGGGUGAAAAUUCUUUUGCAUUUGUCUUGACAUUUGGCGCUUAAAACUCUACAAUGGUGUUUGGUGUUGAAAAAGGGGUACUUCAUUGCAGAAUAAUGAAAGUGUAAAUAGUUCUUUACCAUCAAAAAAGGCUUCAUGGUUGUUAAGAUCCAUCUAAUUCCUUGUCCUUUUCUUGACAUGUUGUUCAAUUUGUGGAAGAUGUGGGAGGAGAGCUUGAAUCAAAUUAAGCCAACUCCUUGCAAAAGACGAAUUCUUGCUAAGAAACCUCACCACUCGCAAGUUCUUUCUUAUCCAAGAAUUCUACAGCAGGUAAUUCGAGAUUAUGUCUCAUCUUUCUAUUUCUUCAUGCUGGUGCACUCACUGAUUUCACUCGUGUUUUCAUCUGAUGGUGACCAACUCUUCCUCUUCUACACGCCAUUAUGUGAUAAUAAUCAGACCUCUCUGUCUUGCUUGAGUUCAAGCAGAGCUUUCUGAUUGGUCAGCAUGCUUCUGAUGAUCCUUCUGCUUAUCCGAAAGUUGCAGCUUGGAAAUCUGAAGGAGAUGGUAGUGACUGCUGCUCAUGGGAUGUCUUAAGAGUGUGACAAGGACACUGGCCAUGUGAUCCGCCUUAACCUUGGCAGCAGCUGUCCCUAUGGUUCUAUCAACUUCAGCAGCGCCUUCUUCCACCUUGUGCAUCUUCAAGGGCAUGAUCUCUCUAAUAAUGAUUUCAAUUACUCUAUGAUCCCAUCAGGAGUUGUCCAGCUUUUGAGUCUUAAGAAGUCUAAAUGACACCUCUCCUGGAUUCUCCGGCCAAAUCCCAUUGGAUUUCUUUGCACUGUCCAAACUGAUUGUCCUUGAUCUCUCACAAAAUCCAUUGAAGCACCAGUAACCUGACCUUGCUUCAGAUUCAGGGGUGAGAAGCAUUUCCUCCUUGUAAUACAAAAUGCUUUUGGGAAGCUGGUUGUAGCAUUCCUGGUGAAUGGUGUUUUGCUCUGUCAACUUGGUACACUUUCAGACUUGUUCUCUUGCAUAUCGUUGGACCAGCAUAAUAAUAAUAAUAAUAAUAAUAAUAAUAAUAAUAAAAUAAAAUAAAAUAUAAAUAUAAAUAUAAAGCUCAUUUAUGAAAAAGACUUAUUUUUCAAAAAAAAUUUCAAAAAAAAGUGGACGAAUUUAAUUUACAUUCCUUUUAUUAGACCCCAAUCAACUUAAGGGAAAAAGGCAAGCUUGAGUAUAACUCUUUUAAGUUAAAAAGAAGGAUUUGAAAGAAAAUCUCAUAUUGUUUGGUUGCGCUUAAAUUUGUUUUUAGAUUUAUUUUAAAAUUUUGAUAUAAAACUAAAAAAAAAUAUAGGAAUAAUUUAGAGUUGUUUAGAUGCAUCUCUUAUUUUUUUUAUUUUAAAUUAAAAAGAAUAAAAGUUUUUAUAUAAUAUAUACAAGAAUUUUUAGAAAAUUAAAUUAAAAAAUUAAUUGCCUUAAAAACUGUUUAAAAAUUUAAUGCAUAUUUUUUUCUUUUUCUUUUUUCAUAUUUUAAUAUUUUUUUAAAGUAAUUUAAAAAAAUAUAAGAGAAAUUUAUGUAUAUGUUUUUUAUAAGGUGUUUCUACUUUUAUAUAGAUAUUUAUAAUUUUUUUAAAAUAGAAAAUAUACUAAAAGGGUUACGUAGCCUUUUAUUUUAAAUACUUUUAAAAAAUAUUUAUGUUUAAAACCAUCAAAACGGCACCUUAGUGCGGAGCUCCGAUAAUUGUGAAAGGCUGCCACGGCUGCCAUGCUCUGCUUUUUCCUCAGGGCCCAUGACGGCAAAAUCCUACCGUUUAUGGAAAAAAAUAGGGUUGCUCUGCUUUUUCUUCAGUCGUGGGCCAUGACCGCAAUUGGAAUCCUACCUUUAAUAGAAAAAAGUAUAGGUUCCUUUUAUAGAAAAAAAAAGAGGGUUUUUUUAAUUCUAGAAAUUAAAUAACUUAAAUUAAUAAAUUAUAUAAUUUUAUAUUUUAUUUAUAUAUAAUAUUUAUUUAUUAUUAUAUUUAUCAAUUUAUAAAAUAAUAUAAAAUUUUUAAAUUUAAAUAUAUAAUUUUUUAUUAUUAAAAUAUAUUUUUUUAAUUUCAAUAAUAAUCUGUAAUUUAAUAUUUUUAAUUAAAAUUUAAAGAAAAAUAAGAAUUAAUUAAAACACAAUCGAGGCUUAGCUUAAAAAUGAACUCUCAUUGUAAAUUUCGAUUUAAUUUAAAAAUAAAGUUUUCGAUUAAGGUUUCAACUUAAAUUAAAAAAUAAAAAAUAAAAACUUUUAUGACAUGGCUCCGUGGCAAUGAAGGGGUAGGUGGGGGUUAUAAGUGACAUUUCAUUUUAUAAAAGGGUUAUUUUUUGCCCCAAAACUCCCUGUUUGAUUGCUGAAGCCUACACGAUUUGAUUUGCCCUUCCAGAACACCAUGGAAGUUGUUGGAGAGGCUCUUCUUUCCACUGCCCUCGGCUUGCUGUUUGACAAGUUGGCUUCCUCUGAUCUUAUUAAGUUCGCCCGGCAGGAGGAUGUCCACACCGAACUCAAGAAAUGGGAGAAGGAGUUGCAGAGCAUCCGGCAAGAGCUCAACGACGCGGAGGAGAAGCAGAUCACAGAUGAGGCUGUCAAAUUAUGGCUGUUUGAUCUGAGGGUUUUGGCGUAUGAUAUGGAGGAUGUCUUGGACGAGUUUGCUUACGAAUUGAUGAGAAGAAAGCUGAUGGGGGCGGAAGUUGAUGAAGCCAGCACAAGCAUGGUACGCAAGUUCAUUCCUACGUGCUGCACUAGUUUCAGUCCAACUCAUGUUGUGCGUAAUGUCAAGAUGGGGUCUAAGAUUAGAGGGAUCACAAGCAGAUUGCAAGACAUUUCAGCUAGAAAAGCUGGACUUGGCCUGGAAAAGGCGGCAGGAGGAGCUACUUCCGCUUGGCAAAGGCCACCACCCACUACACCUAUAGCAUACGAACCUGGCGUUUAUGGCAGGGAUGAAGAUAAAAAAGCGAUUCUUGAUUUGCUGCGCAAGGUUGGGCCCAAGGAAAACAGUGUUGGCGUCAUUUCCAUUGUUGGCAUGGGCGGUCUGGGCAAGACAACACUUGCACGACUGGUUUACAACGAUGAAAUGGCCAAAAAUUUUGACCUAAAAGCGUGGGUUUGUGUGUCUGACGUGUUUGAUGUGGAGAAUAUAACAAAAGCAAUUCUCAAUUCGGUGGAAAGUUCUGAUGCAAGCGGCUCGUUGGACUUCCAACAAGUUCAAAAGAAAUUGACAGACGAGUUGACAGGGAAAAAGUUUUUACUCAUUCUAGACGAUGUGUGGAACGAAGAUUCUGAUAAUUGGGAUCGAUUGCGUGCCCCUUUGAGUGUAGGGGCAAAAGGAAGCAAAGUCAUAGUUACAACACGCAAUAAAAAUGUUGCUUUGAUGAUGGGAGCUGCCGAGAAUCUUCAUGAACUAAACCCCUUGUCAGAAGACGCUUGUUGGUCUGUGUUUGAGAAGCACGCAUUUGAACAUAUAAAUAUGGAAGAUCAUCCAAACUUGGUGUCCAUUGGGAGGAAAAUUGUUGGCAAGUGUGGGGGAUUGCCCCUAGCAGCAAAAGCCCUUGGUGGUCUCUUACGCUCUAAACAGAGGGAAGAAGAAUGGGAAAGAGUAUCGAAUAGCAAAAUUUGGGAUUUUUCAAGCACGGAAUGUGAGAUUCUUCCUGCGUUGCGGUUGAGCUAUCACUAUCUCCCGUCAUAUUUGAAGAGGUGUUUUGCAUACUGUGCCAUGUUCCGCAACGACUAUGAGUUUGACUCAAAAACUUUGGUCCUCCUGUGGAUGGCUGAAGGUUUAAUUCAGCAACCAAUCGCUGACAACCGCACAAUGGAAGAUCUAGGAGACGACAAUUUUUGUGAAUUAUUGUCAAGGUCAUUUUUUCAAUCAUCAGGUAUCGAUGAAUUCCGUUUUGUGAUGCAUGAUCUUAUCUGUGAUCUAGCUCGAGUUGCUUCUGGUGAAAUAUGCUUUUGUUUGGAAGAUAACUUGGAAAGUAAUCGACAAUCCACAAUUUCCAAAGAGACUCGUCAUUUAUCAUUCAUUCGUGGAAAAUUCGAUGUGUUAAAGAAAUUUGAAGCCUUUCAAGAGUUAGAACAUUUACGAACAUUUGUGGCUUUACCAAUUCAUGGUACGUUUACAGAAUCUUUUGUAACUAGUUUGGUGUGUGAUCAUUUGGUGCCAAAAUUUCAACAGUUAAGAGUCCUCUCUUUGAGUGAAUAUGUGAUAUUUGAGCUACCAGAUUCUAUUGGUGGAUUAAAACAUCUACGUUAUUUGAAUUUGUCUUUCACCCAAAUCAAAUUAUUGCCAGAUUCAGUGACCAAUCUCUAUAAUUUACAAACAUUGAUACUAUCCAAUUGCAAGCAUCUUACAAGGUUGCCUUCCAACAUUGGAAAUUUAAUUAGCCUUAGACAUCUCGAUGUUGUUGGAUGUUCAUUGCAAGAGAUGCCACAGCAAAUAGGCAAAUUAAAGAAAUUGCAAACCUUGUCAGAUUUUAUUGUGGCCAAACGAGGAUUUUUGGGAAUAAAGGAGUUGAAGGAUUUGUCAAAUCUGCGGGGGAAGAUAUGCAUUUCAAAAUUGGAAAAUGUUGUGGAUGUUCAAGAUGCUAGAGAUGCCAAUCUAAACACUAAGCUCAAUGUUGAAAACUUGAGUAUGAUUUGGAGUAAAGAAUUGGUUGAUUCACAUAAUGAAGACACUGAAAUGGAAGUCCUCCUCUCUCUACAACCUCAUACCAAUCUGAAGGAACUCAGGAUUGAAUAUUAUGGUGGUCGAAAAUUCCCAAACUGGAUGUGUGAUCCCUCUUACACUAAAUUGGUUGCGUUAAGUCUUAUUGGUUGUAUAAGAUGCAUAUCACUACCUUCCGUUGGGCAACUACCCCUCCUCAAGAAGUUAGUCAUCAAAAAAAUGGAUGGAGUGAAAAGUGUGGGACUGGAGUUUGAGGGUCAAGUUUCUCUUCAUGCUACGCCUUUCCAAUGCUUAGAGUCUUUGUGGUUUGAGGAUAUGAAGGGAUGGGAAGAGUGGUGUUGGUCAACAAAGUCAUUUUCUCGCCUCCGUCAGUUGGAGAUAAAAAAUUGUCCAAGAUUGAUUAAGAAAUUACCCACACACCUAACUUCUCUAGUAAAGCUCAAUAUUGAGAAUUGCCCAGAAAUGAUGGUUCCACUUCCAACAGACUUGCCUUCUCUUGAAGAGCUCAAUAUUUAUUAUUGCCCAGAAAUGACACCACAAUUUGACAACCAUGAAUUUCUCAUUAUGCCACAGAGGGGAGCGAGUAGAAGCGCAAUUGACAUCACCUCACAUAUUUAUUUGGAAGUUAGUGGAAUAUCAGGACUUUCCAGACUUCAGCCGGAGUUUAUGCAGUCCCUGCCGAGGCUUGAACUUCUAGAAAUUGACAAUUCUGGUCAGUUGCAAUGUUUGUGGCUGGAUGGGUUGGGAUUAGGGAACCUCUCUCUUCUUCGAAUAUUGGGUUGUAACCAACUUGUAUCCUUGGGAGAGGAGGAAGAGCAAGGGCUGCCUUACAAUCUUCAGCGUUUGGAAAUAUCUAAGUGUGAUAAGUUGGAGAAGCUUCCACGUGGAUUACAAAUCUAUACAUCUCUUGCAGAGUUGAUCAUUGAGGAUUGCCCAAAACUGGUGUCAUUUCCAGAGAAGGGUUUCCCGCUCAUGCUUAGAGGUCUUUCUAUUUGUAAUUGUGAAAGUCUAAGUAGUCUACCUGAUAGGAUGAUGAUGAGAAACAGCAGCAACAACGUGUGUCACCUUGAAUACUUGGAGAUAGAGGAGUGUCCAUCUCUUAUUUGCUUCCCAAAAGGGCGGUUACCCACCACCCUUAGGCGACUAUUCAUAUCCAAUUGUGAAAAUCUAGUGUCUCUUCCAGAAGACAUCCAUGUGUGUGCCCUUGAACAGUUAAUUAUAGAGAGGUGUCCAUCUCUCAUUGGUUUUCCAAAAGGUAAGCUACCCCCCACUCUCAAGAAGCUUUAUAUACGGGGGUGUGAAAAGCUAGAGUCUCUACCAGAGGGAAUAAUGCAUCACCAUUCCAACAACACAGCCAAUUGUGGUCUUCAAAUCUUGGAUAUCUCACAAUGUUCAUCUCUCGCAUCCUUUCCUACUGGCAAGUUUCCCUCUACCCUUAAAUCUAUUACGAUCGAUAAUUGUGCACAGUUGCAGCCAAUUUCGGAGGAGAUGUUUCACUGUAAUAAUAAUGAACUUGAAAAGUUGUCCAUCUCGAGACACCCUAAUCUCAAAACCAUACCAGAUUGCCUCUACAAUCUCAAAGAUCUUCGGAUUGAAAAAUGUGAGAAUCUGGACUUGCAGCCUCAUCUAUUGCGAAACCUCACUUCUCUUGCAUCACUUCAGAUCACUAAUUGUGAGAAUAUCAAAGUGCCCUUAUCAGAAUGGGGCCUUGCCAGAUUGACCUCUCUUAGAACUCUUACCAUUGGUGGCAUAUUUCCAGAAGCCACCUCCUUUUCUAAUCACCACCACCACUUGUUUCUUCUUCCUACUACUCUAGUUGAGCUUUGCAUUUCACGUUUCCAGAAUCUGGAAUCCUUGGCCUUCCUGUCUCUCCAAACGCUCACCUCUCUUAGAAAGCUAGAUGUCUUCCGAUGUCCUAAGCUCCAGUCUUUUAUGCCAAGGGAAGGGCUGCCUGACAUGCUUUCAGAACUGUAUAUAAGAGACUGCCCACUCCUAAUUCAAAGGUGCUCAAAAGAGAAAGGGGAAGAUUGGCCAAAGAUUGCCCACAUCCCCUGUGUGAAAAUAGAUGACAAAUUGAUACUUGAGCAAUAAGAAGUUGAGAUGGCAGCAAAAUGAAUGCAGAGACCACCACUAUAUAUAUGUGUGCUUGGUAUUUUUCUUCAAUCUGCCAUAAUUCAUUGUGUCAUUUGUUUAAUUAUUGUUCCAAAUUUAUUUGUUUAAUUGAAUUGUCUCACAUGUCUUGCACAGUUGAAACUCAUCCAACGGAAAAAACUCUCCUUCACCAAUCACUGGUUUGCCAUCCAUGCUAUAAAGUCUCAUGCUUGAUGGUAAUGAAGGCUAAAAAAUCAGUAUCUCAUUGACAGAAGAAGAAGAAGAAGAAGAAGAAGAAGAAGAAGAAGAACAGAUUUAAUCUGUAUUUACAAUUGGAGGGCUUGGGAUCCCCUGCUCUACUCUGCUAUCCAAAAAUGUAAGCUGGACACCUUGCUUAAGAAGAUGCACAUGUGAAGUUUGCUUAAGCAGAUACACAUGUGAAGUUCUACAAAUCUAUAUGCUCCAGAUAAGGGACCAAUUCAUGAAGACACUAAUGGUAACAAGACUAUAUGCUCUGCCUUAAUCACCCUAUCAUAGAUAUGAGUGAUCCAUCACCCUUAAUCACAUUAUGAUUUUUUGUUGCAGAAACUGGAGUCAAUGUUUGCAAAAAAAUUGCAGAUAAAACUUACUUGAAAGCUUUUGUAGUUGUUUGAGUCAGAACUUUAUCUGGAGCCUCAUGACAUGCCUGUCGUUGGAUUGCAUAUCUAUGCAACACGCAUAGGCUAUCAAUUCCCUUUCUAUUGGAAUCAAGUAUGCCCAUUCAUUAUACGUAACUUUUUUCUUCUUAAGAAUUAUUUUCAAAAUGUUCAUUUUAAAGGAAUUCCAUUUCGUGCAUGUAGGGUGUGAAGGAGAAAAUAAUGCAAAUGGAAUCCAAUUCUCUAAUCACAGGGUCAGCCAGUUAAAGUGAGUAUACUCUAUUUCAUUCAUGAUCUUUUUUUACUUUGUGCAUUUCAAUUGCAUUGUCCUCAAGAAGCUUUCUUUUCCCAUACAUCUCUAUAUAAAGUUCUGCCUUUUUUUUUUCUUACGUAUUCAUAGAUGUACAUUUAUCAACAUAGGCCGUGUUCUUAAUGCUUUUAAACCUAUGAUUUCACAUUUUUCCAUCACGGGAUUCUUCCAUGUCUUUAUAAUUUUCCAUUUAUCAAUAUGAUCUUUGUUCAACUUACAGGUUUUUCAAGUGAGUGACAAAGAAUACAAAUGCUUAGAUAUCACUUUUUUCUUUGUCCUCUUGAUUGCACUGCAUCUUUAUUUGGAAUUGGAUAUUUCUCUUUGUAACUUGUUUUUCUUGUUAAUUACAUUCCUUCUUACAAUAAUUCAGGAUUGGCCUUUUCUCAAAAAUAAUUUUUCUUCUUCUUGGUCUUCUCCUCAGUUAAUGUAAGCAUCAAAUUUGUACGUCUUUGUUAAAUCUGUAGAUAAUUUUCUGGUUGAAUUGUAAACCACACUUAAAUAAAUCAAAGUUGCAGAAAUCUUGCUGGAUCACAAUUUACAAUCUUAUGUGGAUUCCAAAGAAAGAAAAUAUGCAACUUGGGAUUCAAUGAGCUAUGAUCAUUCUUACAUAACUAAAUCCCCCUUCAUUUGUAUCAUAUGUUCUGAUGGCAUUUCCUUUUUCUCAUUACAUAUACAUGAGGAAGAUUUUAUGACUUCCGUAAUAACUAUCUUUGCAUUUCAUUUUAUUUCAAGUAGAUUCAGGGGUAAAAAUUCUUUUGCAUGUGUCUUGACGUUUGGCACUUAAAACUCUACAAUGGUGUUUGGUGUUGAAAGAGGGGUACUUCAUUGCAGAAUAAUGAAAGCAUAAAUAGUUCUUUACUAUCAAUAGAAACUUCAUGGUUGUUAAGAUGCAUCUAAUUCUUUGUCCUUUUCUUGGCAUGUUCUUCGAUUUGUGGAAGACGUGGGAGGGAGAGCUUGAAUCAAAUUAAGCCAACUCCAUGCAAAAGAUGAAUUCUGGCUAUGAAACCUCACCACUCACAAGUUCUUUCUUAUCCAAGAAUUCUACAGUAGGUAAUUCGAGAUUACGUCUCAUCUUUGUAUCUCUUCGUGCUGAUGCACUCACUGAUUUCACUCUCGUGUUUUCAUCUGAUGGUGACCAACUCUUCCUCUUCUAUGCAGCCAUUAUGUGAUAAUAAGCUGAGCUCUGUCUUGCUUCAGUUCAAGCAGAGCUUUCUGAUUGAUCAGCAUGCUUCUGAUGAUCCUUCUGCUUCUCCAAAAGUUGCAGCUUGGAAAUGUGAAUGUGAAGGUAGUGAUUGCUGCUCAUGGGAUGUUGUAGAGUGUGACAGGGACACUGGCCAUGUGAUCGGCCUUAACCUUGGCAGCACCUGCCUCUAUGGUUCUACCAACUCCAGGAGCGCCCUCUUCCACCUUGUGCAUCUUCACAGGCUUGAUCUCUCUGAUAAUGAUUUCAGUUACUUUAAGAUCCUAUCUGGAGUUGUCCAGCUUUUGAGUCUAAGAAGUCUAAACCACUUGUCUUCCAGAUUCUCCGGCCAAAUCCCAUUGGAGCUCUUAGUGCUGUCUAAACUGGUUGUCCUUGAUCUCUCACAAAAUCCAUUGAAGCGCUAGUAACCUGACCUGGCUUCUGAUGCAGGGGUCAGAAGCAUUUCCUUGUUGUAGCAUUUGGGAAGCUGGUUGUAGCAUUCCUGGUGAACGGUGAUUUCUCCUGUCAAUUUGGUACACUUUCAGACUUGAUCUCUUGCAUAUCAUUGGAGAACCUUUAUCUUUUUUCUUUUUCCUCAAUAUUUUGUUUUUAGAAAGAUUUUAACUAAAAGUAUUGUGCAAUUUCAUUUGAAAAAAAUUUCAAAUCCUUUUCUAUGUGAAAUUAUGGAUCUUUAGUGUUCUGCAGACCCCUAAUAUUAGGAAUAUGGUGGUUUAUGUUGGCAUACAUGAUUUUCUCUUUAAAUCCUUGAACCCAGUGUACCAAUAUCCUAAACAUUUCUUUUUCUUUACAGAUAUAUGCUGGAAAUAUGAUAGGGUGAUGAAGGCCAAGGAACCACUUCGGUGUUGGUUUGGAGAUCAAUCACUGAAAGGUUCAGAUGAUUUCUUUUUCUAGUUUCUUCCAAUUUAGGGUAGAUUAAGAGGUAUCCUUAUGGUAGCAAAUUCUUCUGACCUAAAGCUUAAGUGAUCCUUUAGUGAAACAAAACAUAAUCCAGGAACAUUCCCUCCUUCAGUCACUGUUGCUAGCCUUCAGGAAGCUGAGCAUUUACAGAAAUAAAUAAAUAAAUGGUACCCUGCUUUCCAUAGCAACCAUGUUAGACUAAGAUUUUUUCAUUGACUUCUACGGGUGGCUUAUGCUGAGAAGUAAAAGUCAUUAAUCAGGGCAGGUUCCUUUUUGGGGUUUCUGUGAAGGAUGGAUAGACCUGAACUUGAGCAUUUUUGACUGAAGAUGAUGAAUCAAGACUGGAAUCUACUUCCAUUUUUGACAACCUGAGAAGGUAACAUUUUUCAAGCAAUGGCAUAAAAAAUCUGUGGUGUUGGUCUACCUUCCUAAACGAAAUAUUUUGUGAUGAAAGUAGAUUACUACUUGUUCUUUUUUUCUGCCAACAAAACUGAUGUGCUGGAUUGGAGUUGAGGAUUUUUUUUAAUUCCCUCAUUCAUAUUUGUUUGAGUGUAUUUGUGAUUCAUUCUUGAAUGAUUCUCUUCCCCUUUUACCUGAGUUUACCAAUAUGUUAGACCCUUCUAGGGAACAUGUUCAUACCCUGGGUUGUGGAUGAUUAAAAAAACUAGGUCAUCUUGGCAUAUGAUUGUAAAAAUUUUUUUAAAUGAAACCAUGUCAGAUCUUAUAUCCCUAAAAUAAUCUUGUAUUUGCAACUAAAGUUGCCUCAUUUUGAACAUUGUGAGUAAAAUGGGCUUGUUUCAGUUUUUAGAACAAAGAUGAAGGACCUUCAUUCCAUGGAUCCCUCAAUCAAACCCUAAGUUUUCUUAAAGAUGAGGUUUAUAGUGGAUGAGAGGAGGGGUAAUGAUUUCAAAAUGUUCUGCCUGCUUGGAGCCAUUUUAUGCUUCCCUCUGUUUUUUACACUUUUUUGAAGCUGAAACUGACAGUGUAAAGAAAUUUAUCUGAUUAGAAUGUCUCCUUCCUCUUUUGUUUAAUCUAAUCUUUUGUGUCUUGUCAUAUAUAUAUAUAUAUAUUCAGUUCACGGUUGAAGUAAUGUAAAUCACUGAGUGCUGGCUUGCUGCACACAGAUACAUGUUUUCUGGUAAAUUUGGAAGGAUCACAAUGUAAUACCGCAUAAUGUCAAGAAGUAAUAUCUGUCCUAUGCAUGUACAUUUUAGUGUCAAUCAUUUCUCAGUAGCAUCUAGGAUUCUUACUUGAUGGUUAAAAAGGUUCACAUUUCAGUUGUCUUGUGGAUCAUGGUUUUGGAAGCUAGUCACAACCCAAAAGCUGGAGUGCUUCAUCUAUAUAUGUCCCCGGUGAAAUCCCAAUUCCCAAACAGGUCAUUGUAUAUUGUAUGCCUAUCCUAGAGUUCUAUCAGAUGGGUGGAAUGCCAAUCAUGAAGAAGUAUAAAAACAGGGCUUUCAUAUGUAUAUGGGUUACAACCUGCUGUUCUAUCAGACAAGUAGUGAUCCAAUAGUCCAGUGGAAGGUGGUUGCUGAGAAUGAAUAUGGAAGAGAGAAUUUAUAGAAAAUUUGAAGUUCAAAAACUUUGAGGACCAGAUUACCUGUAGAACCUGAGAAAAGGGCAUAUCAAACCACACUCAAAACAGGUGAAAUAUUAUUUGUCUGAUGAUGUUGACUUGAGACAUUGCUGGAGUAUUGAGGGUCAUUCAUUGAAUUCUUAAAGUAAAACACAAGCAAGUUUUGCCUAUAUCAUUGGAUUUGUUGUUCAUUUUAUUUAUCACAAAGCUACCUUUUAUUGUCAACUAAUCAUUUACUUUUAAUCGGAAAUUCAUUUUGUUUUUUUAGUAGCGAGGAAUUUUCUAUCGUCAAGUCCUUAGAACUCUUGUUGGAGACCCAAAUAUCAUAAUACUGACCGCCCUGCAACAACCAGCGUCUGGUUUUGAGAAUCUUGUGCUCUAUAACUUUGUGUUGGCGUGGCCGAUAUUCUGGUAUUCCAAGUUGAAUUGUAUAAAUACAAAUUAAGAAUCGAUGCGAGCAUUGUGGAAGUGGCGCAGAUGGUAGUGUUGGAGCCAUGGAGGUGAUGUUAGCACUUAAGAGUAGUAUGAUAGUCGUACAGGUGUAAAACAACAAAAUUGAUGCUUCCAAAAAUAAUAAUUCUUAGCUUUAUUGAAAAGCAAUUUUAUAGAUUAGUUAUAUGUAUGUAUUUAGAAUGCCUUUGAUAGUCAUUCAAGUAAAUGUUAUUUUAGCAUUUAUAACACUUCAAAAUUUUCAUCAUUCAAGUAUUAAAAACACUUUGAUGUGAAACACAUUCUUAAUAAGAGAUGAAAUUUGAGAGAAAAUGGGUUUUGAUUUCUUAAUUUGAAAAAUAUAGAAAAAACAAUUUCAACUUUUAUAAACCAGUUUUAUUUUCAUUAAUUUAAAAAUAUUUUAAAAUAUGUACAUUUUUUCAUAACUCAAAUAGUUAUUUCUUGAAAUACCCUUUUACUUGAUGAUAUUAGAUAAAAUUAUCCAAAAUUAGUUAUUAUUUUAAUUUAAUAAAAGUGUUUUACAAAUAAAUAUAUUAUAAAAUUUUUAUUAUAUAAUAUAAGAUACAAAUUAUUAUAAAAAAGAUUUCUAGGAUACUCAAGUGAUAAAUAAAAUCUUUACAAUUUUUUAGUUAAUAACGAUUUUAUAUCAUGUAUUAUAUAAAUUCUCUCAUCUUCUCAUUUUAUUUAAUAAAAUUGAAUAAAAAUUUUGUUAGUUGAUAUGAAUAAUAAAAUAAGAAAUUUUAAAAAUUAAAAAUACAUUUAAAACUAAAAUGCAUAAAAAUUAAAUACAAACACACCUUAAAAAUUAAAAACGAAAAGAUUUACUUUUAUUAGAUUUUCAACUCUUGAUAUUUAUAUUUUCUAUCAAAGUGUUUUGAUUAAGUGAAUGUUAAUAUUUUAAUUUUAUAUUUUUAACUUUAAUUGUAUUUUUAAUUUUAAAAUUUUCUUUUUUUAUUAAUCUUAAAUAAGUUCUUAGGGUAAAAAAAGUUGUUAAUUUGUGUUAUUAAUAUAUAAGAGGGUCAUUUCAAGAAUUAAUUAUUUCUUGAUUAACAAAUUUUCUCCAUAAAAAUUAUAAUACUCUUCAAAAAUUUAAAAUCUGAAAAGUUUGUUACUCCAAUUUUUUUUAAAUAGAAAAUAUAUUAAAAGGGUUAUUUAGCUUUUUAUUUUAAAUACUUUAAAACAAAAUUUUAAAAUAAAAGUUAAAUGUGUUUAAUAUUUAUAAAUUUUUUUUUAAAAUACAUAUUUAUGUUUAAAACCAUCCAAACGGCACCUUAGUGCGGAGCUGCAAUAAUUGUGAAAGGCUGUCAUGGAUGCCAUGCUCUGCUUUUUCUUCAGCCGUGGCCAUGACGGCCAUUGGAAUCCUACGCGUUGACCCCUUUGACUCUCUGAUUGCUGAAGUCUUCGCACCACACAACCACUUUCACUUGUUUCCAUCUUCCCUUCUCUACUCUCAGCUCUUUGUUUGCCUUUGCUGAACACCAUGGAAGUUGUUGGAGAGGCUCUUCUUUCCGCUGCCUUUGGCUCGUUGUUUGACAAGUUGGGUUCCUCUGAUCUGAUUAAGUUCGCACGGCAGGAGGAUGUCCACACCGAGCUCGAGAAAUGGGAGAAGGAGUUGCAGAGCAUCCGGCAAGAGGUCAACGACGCGGAGGAGAAGCAGAUCACACAGGAGGCUGUCAAAUCAUGGCUGUUCGAUCUGAGGGUUUUGGCGUAUGAUAUGGAUGACAUCUUGGACGAGUUUGCUUACGAAUUGAUGAGGACAAAGCUGAUGGGGGCUGAAGCUGAUGAAGCCAGCACAAGCAAGAAACGCAAGUUCAUUCCUACCUUCUCUACUAGUUUCAGUCCAACUCAUGUUGUGCGUGAUGUUAAGUUGGGGUCCAAGAUUAGAGAGAUCACCAGCAGAUUACAACAUAUUUCAGCUAGAAAAGCUGGACUUGGACUGGAAAAGGCGGCAGGAGGAGCUACUUCUGCUUGGCAAAGGCCACCACCCACUACACCUAUAGCAUACGAACCUGGGGUUUAUGGCAGGGAUGAAGAUAAAAAAGUGCUUCUUGAUUUGCUGCACAAGGUUGAGCCCAAUGAAACCAAUGUUGGCGUCAUUUCCAUUGUUGGCAUGGGCUGGCUGGGCAAGACAACGCUUGCACGGCUGGUUUACAAUGAUGAAAUGGCCAAAAAUUUUGAUCUAAAAGCGUGGGUUUGUGUAUCUGAUGUGUUCGAUGUGGAGAAUAUAACAAAAGCAAUUCUCAAUUCGGUGGAAAGUUCUGAUGCAAGUGGCUCGUUGGACUUCCAACAAGUUCAAAAGAAAUUAGCAGACGCAUUGACAGGGAAAAAGUUUUUACUCAUUCUAGACGAUGUGUGGAACGAAGAUUCUGGUAAUUGGAACAGCUUGCGCGCCCCUUUUAGUGUAGGGGCAAAAGGAAGCAAAGUCAUGGUCACAACACGCAAUAAAGGAGUUGCAUUGAUGAUGGGAGCUGAGAAGAAUGUUUAUGAACUAAAAACUUUAUCAGAAGAUGCCUGCUGGUCAGUGUUUGAGAAGCAUGCGUUUGAACAUAGAAAUAUCGAUGAACAUCCAAACCUGGUGUCUAUUGGUAGGAAAAUUGUCAACAAGUGUGGCGGAUUGCCACUGGCGGCAACAACGCUUGGUGGCCUUUUACGCUCUAAACGAAGGGAAGAUGAAUGGGAAAAAAUAUUAAGUAGUAAAAUAUGGGGAUGGUCAGGCACAGAACCUGAGAUUCUCCCUGCGUUGCGAUUGAGUUAUCACUAUCUCCCUUCACAUUUGAAGAGGUGUUUUGCUUACUGUGCAAUGUUCCCCAAGGACUAUGAGUUCGACUCCAAAAAUUUGGUCCUUCUGUGGAUGGCCGAAGGUUUGAUUCAACAACCAAAAGGUGGUAGACAUACAAUGGAAGAUUUAGGCGAUGACUAUUUUUGCGAGUUAUUGUCAAGAUCAUUCUUUCAAUCAUCGAGUAAUCAUGAAUCACAUUUUGUGAUGCAUGAUCUUAUUCAUGACCUAGCUCAAGGUGUUGCUGGAGAAAUAUGUUUUUGUUUGGAAGAUGAGUUGGAGUGUAACCGGCAAUCCACAAUUUCCAAAGAGACUCGUCAUUCAUCAUUUGUUCGUAGAGAUGGGGAUGUGCUAAAAAAAUUUGAAGCUUUUCAAGAGGUAAAGCAUUUACGGACAUUUGUUGCUUUAAAUAUUCAUUGGGCGUCUACAAAAUCUUAUGUAACUAGUUUGGUGUGUAAUCAUCUAGUGCCAAAAUUUCAACGACUAAGAGUUCUCUCUCUGAGUCAAUACAAUAUUUUUGAGCUACCAGAUUCUAUUUGUGAAUUGAAACAUCUACGCUAUUUGAAUCUGUCCUACACCAAAAUAAGAUCUUUGCCUGACUCAGUGGGCAAUCUCUAUAAUUUACAAACAUUGAUGUUAUCCUUUUGUAUGCAUCUUACGAGGUUACCUCCCAACAUUGGAAACUUAAUUAAUCUUCGACAUCUCAGUGUUGUUGGAUGUUCAUUGCAAGAGAUGCCACAACAAAUAGGCAAAUUAAAGAACCUGCAAACAUUGUCUGAUUUUAUUGUGGGCAAAAGUGGAUUUUUGGGAAUAAAGGAGUUGAAGCAUUUAUCACAUCUCCGAGGGAAGAUUCGUAUUUCACAAUUGAAAAAUGUGGUGAAUAUUCAAGAUGCCAUAGAUGCCAAUCUAAGGACUAAGCUCAAUGUUGAAGAGUUGAUUAUGCAUUGGAGUAAAGAGUUCGAUGAUUUGCGAAAUGAAGACACCAAAAUGGAAGUCCUCCUCUCUCUACAACCUCAUACUAGUUUGAAGAAACUCAAUAUUGAAGGCUUCGGUGGUCGGCAAUUCCCCA